CUGCCUCUCUUACUUCUCUGAACUCCAACCUAUGUUGCUCCUAUUCUUCUAGUCCCUUCGCCCCUUUGCUGCUAUUCUUCUUCUCUUCCUGAAUCUGUUUGCUGCUUCCUUGUUCUCUGAAGUCUAAAUCCCCUACUCCUGCUGUUCUCUUUCAACCUCUCUCUCUCACACACCCUCCCAUUUUCUGAAUUUUCUGUAAGCUAUGCUCUGUAAUGUUCAUAUUUGAGUAGUGCUUGAAACUUGUUCAGUUUCAAACUUGUGCUUGAUUAAUAGUACUUAUGUUGUUCAUCUCAGAGUACUAGAAUUAUGUCUUGUAACCUCCCCCUGUUUGCAUAUGUGUGAUGUGUGUUUUGUAGUCCCUAUGUUAAUUACGUUCAUGUGAAAAUAUAUAUGUUUGUGUUGUGAUAUAUUUCUGUCUCUGUCAUAGUACUCUUUCUUCCCCUUAGUUACUUGUAUGAUAGUAAUAUAUGUGUUCAUGUCCCGUCGCUUCCCUUUAUGUUAGUGUUUUAGUGUCUCUAGUAAAACAAAAAUACCAAAAAUACAGUGAGUUUCAAUCCUAAUCUCUCCAUGCUGUUUGUCAUUUUAUUUUGUCAUCAUCCUUGAUUAUUUUAGGUUUAUAUUUUCUUGCGAUCAUCACCCUAAUUGUGUUAUCUAGCUUAGUCGAGCAUAGUUGCCGUUGCCUAGUCCCUGAGGAGUACACGACACUCGCAGUUUGGGCAUAAAACCCCACUAUACUUACAUUUGAUCAUUUUGGCGCCAUUGCCGGGGACUAGCGUCGAACGAUUGUGUGAAGCUAUAGACUAGGCUUAGUAUAGUUUUUGUUUAAAUUUCCAGUCAAAUUUAUUUCUGUGCUUCUUUUACCUUUUUACUUUUUGUUGCUUCGGCUUAUUAGGAUACUAACUUUCUGACUAGUGUUUACUGUUUAUGAGUGUGCGUAGGAAAUGUGAACUAAUUGCAGGUUGUUCUAUAGUUACACUCAGUUAAGAUGGCAUUGCUUCGUGAUCUUUGGAUGCCCAAAAGUCAGUGCUAUAUCACAUGACCGGUUUGGCCAACUAUUGAGGUAGAGAACUUCGAGCUGAAACCUAGUCUUAUUGCUUUGGUUCAACAAUGUCAGUUUGGAGGACGACCUACUGAGGAUCCCUAUGAGCACUUACACCGAGUCAUGGAGUAUUCAGAUACAGUCAAGUACCACGGAGUUCCUCAAGACGUAAUCAUGUGCAGGUUGUUUACAUUCUCUCUCUGUGAUGAUGCUCGUGCUUGGUACCGAUCCUUGCCAUCAAGGUCAUACAGUUGGAUUGAGAUAUCACAAGCAUUCUUGGAUAAAUAUUUCCCACUACACAAGCAAUCAGCGUUUCGAGAUGACAUCUUCAACUUUGUUCAGCGUGAAGGCGAGAGUUUGUAUGAUGCUUGGGAUAGGUACAAAGCCUUGUUCAGGAGAUGUCCUAAUCAUGGGCUCGAGAGAUGGUUAGAGCUGCAGAUAUUCUAUAGAGGAUUGACUUCGGACACUUGCGGUUACAUUGAUAUGGCAGCGGGUGGAGCUAUUAAAACAAGACACUUCAUGAUGCUUUUCUGCUGAUUGAGAGCAUAGCUUUCCACCAACUUCAGUGGUACAAUAAGAAGCCCACGUCUGAUUCAUUGGUUUGCUUGCAACAAAUCACUUCAUCUCAACAAGAAUCUCUUACACAAAAGCCGGAACCAGUUUCUCCGUGUGACAAGAUUGAGCUUGCAUGGAUUAUCUUUGAUGAUGAUGACACCAUCUUAGUUGACACACACACUUCAGAUCAUAUGGAUACUAGCAUUCUAGAUUCAGUUUUGCAUUGUGAUGAUUCUUCUGUGGAUGAACCAGAGCUAUAGUUAGUUACUUUUGAUAUUGAGGAGACACCUUUAGUUGAUAUUGAUCAUGUGCUGCUAGAGCCAGAUAUGGAAAAGUUCGCCUUCGAUGAUGUUAGUUGCAUUGAUUCCUCAACACUUGAGCCUGAGAUGGAGAGCUUCAUGGUUGAUUAUGGUGAGGUGGGUUUAGAUGUCAAGGAGCCAAGCUCUACUAUUUCACUUGUUGCCACGAGUCCGGUGGAAAUUUCUACUACCACACCUCACUUGGUAUCGUCAAUUGAGGUAGUCCUGAAGCUUCUUCCUAACUAUCUUAGGUAUGAUCGCAACUUUCUCAACAAGAUAUGUCAUAUCGCUGAUAUUGCCUAUGCACCAUGUGACUUGUUGUUGAUACACGUUCCUGAUUUGCUCACUAGAUAUACUUAUAUGAUAGGGUACUCUAUUGAUGACUUAGAGGGCAUUCUCUCUGUCACUUGUAUUGGCUUGGUUGUUGAGUGUUCUUUCAGGUUGAUGCUUGUGCACCAUUUACUGCGAGUUGACCGAGUUCGAGAUGACAUUCCCUGGGAUCCUAGUGGAUUCAUGGCACGGUGAUGAGGAGAAGAAAUGGGCACACGCGAAGAAGAGUGAAGCUGGAGCAUGCACGAGGAAGCAAUGGAGAAGAUCUGCAACUUAGAGAGUGAUCAAGCGAGUGUUACUUCUUAGUGCUCGGUGAGUUGUUUCAUGACCCAUUCUGAACAUCAUAAAUACAUGCUGAAUUAAAUUGCUAGUUGGGUUGCUUGAGCCAGUUAUUACUUAUUGUCAAGCUGAAAUUCACCUUUGGCAUCGUGCUUGUUGUGAAUUUGUGGACUUGAUUUCUGAAUGCCUUGUAAACUAGUGAUCUACACCAUGCAUGCUUGGCUGAAAUUAGUGAGAACUAUUAGUUUUGAGUGCUCAAAUCCCUAGUACACUAGAAAACUUCGUCAUUUUCUGCAUUUACUAUGAUACACCUAGAUCACCAUGUUAGAUGCUGAAUUUGUGCGAAGUAUGUUCCUAUAAAGAGCAAUCACCUAACCACCAUGGAUUAGCAUGCUAUGUUCCCUGGAUCGGUAGCAUGUGAACCAGAUAUGGUUGAGUGAUGAUUCUUAUUUUUGUUCAAAAAAUUAUAUCUUAUAAUGAAUGAAUAAGUCUGACUACCUACAGUAGCAUGUCAUGUUCCCUGGAUCGGUGGCAUGUGAAAUCGGGUUAGCUCGGGCAGUAAUUGCUAAUAAAAUUGUAAUUGUCGAACCAGGUGUAUAUCAUGUUCUCUGGAUCGGUGGUAUGUUCCUUUGGGGAGACAAACAAAAAAACUAACUAAUAAUUGGUUGAGCCAGGUGUAUACCAUGUUCUCGGGAUCGGUGGUAUGUUCCUUUGGUGAGAUCGACAAAAUAUUAUCAUUACUUUCUUCAAAUACAAUAAGUGCUUUCAACUACAAUGUUUUUUCCUGGUAAUAAGUGAUCUGAUCACAAGUUUAAGUUCUUUUUGUUUUUGGGAUCAUGCUCUCUUUAGGAACCUUUUGGCACAAUCAGCAUUUGAACUUGCUAAUCCUCUUUUAUCAUUGUAAAAGUUUAAAAUUGUCAUGCUUACUAGUAUCCUACUGCUUUGUAGCACUCUUAACCAUUGAUUUUCACUAGCAAAGUUCAAAGCAUGCUUUGUUUGGAGAUCUACUUCACUUGGCAUUCCCUAGUCAGCUCACUGUUCACAAUCUUGCUCUUGUCAUAUUCCUUUGCUUGAGGACAAGCAAAGAUUUAAGUGUGGGGGAACUUGAUAAGCACAUUUCAUAUACAUAAUUUUGGCACAUAUAUACACCAUUUAUAUGUUCAUCCAUUAUUACUAUGAACUGUGAUAUAUUUGGAUGAAAAUCAUAUAAAAGAUCAUUUACUCGUCAUUUGUUUCUUCUGCAAAAAAGUGCGCAAAGGCACUAUAAACCUCAAGAUUCCGACUAAGAGGCCGAAGAAUACAAGACAAGGAUGGGAAAGAAAGAAGGGGGACCUGAGCAUGAAGGAAAGAAGAAAUCGAGGGCCAAACUAGAGAAGGGAAGGGAUGUGCUUGUGAAGAAAGAAGGGAGCAGGAGGGCCAAAUCAAAAAGUGGAAAAUCUGAUCGUGGAAUCAAAUCCCUAGCGCUAGCCACCGAUCCCCUUCGGGCCUGGCACACAUCUCUCUCUCUCUCACCCCUCCUUCUCCACCACCGGCCGCGGCCGCGGCCAGGCCGGCGUGGCGGCGCGCCACCACGCCACCAGCACACCCACCACACGCCACCAAAUCCAUCCACCAUCGCCACCAUCUCCAGCCACCUCCACUCCUCGCGCGCCUGACCAGACAAGAGGGUCACGGGCGUCUGGUCCUCCGCGUGAGCGCCCCCGUGCUGCUGAUCUUCUUCUUCUCCUACGCCUUGUUGCUGCUCCCUCUUUCCUUGCCUCGCCGCUUCUCUUCCUUUCUCUGAACCCUACCGAUGCUGCUCCCUCUUCUCCCUCAAUGCCUACAGCUGCUGCUUCUUCCCCAAAACUGCUGCUGCACCCCUGCCUUUUGCUGCCGCUCCUCUCCUCUCAUUGCACUACUAUUGCUGCUCCUCCUCAACGCUCCCUGCUGCCUCUCUUACUUCUCUGAACUCCAACCUAUGCUGCUCCUAUUCUUCUACUCCCUUUGCCCCUUUGCUGCUGUUCUUCUUCUCUUCCUGAAUCUGUUUGUUGCUUCCUUCUUCUCUGAAGUCUAAAUCCCCUACAACUGUUGUUCUCUUUCAACCUCUCUCUCUCUCACACACCCUCCCAUUUUCUGAAUUUUCUGUAAGCUAAGUUGUGUAAUGCUCUGUAAUGUUCAGAUUUGAGUAGUGCUCGAAACUUGUUCAGUUUCAGACUUGUGCUUGAUUAAUAGUACUUAUGUUGUUCAUCUCAGAGUACUAGAAUUAUGUCUUGUAACCUCCCCCAGUUUGCAUAUGUGUGAUGUGUGUUUUGUAGUCCCUAUGUUAAUUACGUUCAUGUGAAAAUAUAUAUGUUUGUGUUGUGAUAUAUUUUGUCUCUGUCACAGUACUCUUUCUUCCCCUUAGUUACUUGUAUGAUAGUAAUAUAUAUGUUCAUGUCCCGUUGCUUCCCUUUACGUUAGUUUUUUAGUGUCUCUAGUAAAAAAAUAAUACCAAAAAUACAGUGAGUUUCAAUCUUAAUCUCUCCAUGCUGUUUGUCAUUUUAUUUUGUCAUCAUCCUUGAUUAUUUUAGGUUUAUAUUUUCUUGCGAUCACCACCCUAAUUGUGUUAUCUAGCUUUAGCCGUGCAUAGUUUCCGUUGCCUAGUCCCUGAGGAGUACACGACACUCGCAGUUUGGGCGUAAAACCCCACUAUACUUACAUUUGAUCACACUAAACUAUCGAGUAGUCAUCAGAUUUAGCUUGCCAGACGUUCAUAACGUCCGGUGUUGCUCCUGCAGCAGGCCUUGCACCCAGCGGUGCUUCAAGGACAUAAUUCUUCUAUGCAGCAAUGAGGAUAAUCCUCAACUUACGGACCCAGUCCAUGUAGUUGCUACCAUCAUCUUUCAACUUAGCUUUCUCUAGGAACACAUUAAAAUUCAAGGGAACGGUAGCACGGGCUAUUGAUCUACAACAACAUAGAUAUGUAAAAACUAUCGGGACUAAGUUCAUGAUAGAUUUAAGUUCAAUUAAUCAUAUUACUAAAGAACUCCCACUUAGAUAGACAUCCCUCUAGUCAUCUAAAUGAUCAUGUGAUCCAUAUCAACUAAAUCAUGUCCGAUCAUCACAUGAAAUGGAGUAGUUUUCAAUGGUGAACAUCUCUAUGUUGAUCAUAUAUACUAUUUGAUUCACGUUCGACCUUUCGGCCUCAGUGUUCCGAGUCCAUCUCUGUACAUGCUAGGCUCGUCAAGUUUAACCUGAGUAUUCUGCAUGUGCAAAACUGUCUUACACCCAUUGUAUGUGAAUGUAGAGCUUAUCACACCUGAUCAUCAUGUGGUGUCUCAGCACGACGAACUGUAGCAACGGUGCAUAGUCAGGGAGAACACCUAUACCUUAAAUUUUAGUGAGUGAUCAUCUUAUAAUGCUACCGCCGUACUAAGCAAAAUAAGAUGCAUAAAAGAUAAACACCACAUGCAAUCAAAAUAUGUGAAAUGAUAUGUCCAUCAUCAUCUUGUGCCUUUGAUCUCCAUCUCCAAAGCAACGUCAUGAUCUCCAUCGUCACCGGCUUGACACCUUGAUCUCCAUUGUAGCGUUGUGUCGUCUCGCCAACUAUUGCUUCUACGACUAUCGCUAACGCAUAGUGAUAAAGUAAAGCAAUUACAUGGCGAUUGCAUUUCAUACAAUAAAGCGACAACCAUAAGGCUCCUGCCAGUUGCCGAUAACUUUUACAACAGAUGAUCAUCUCGUACAAUAACUUAUAUCACAUCAUGUCUUGACCAUAUCACAUCACAACAAGCCCUGCAAAAAUAAGUUAGACAUCCUCUACUUUGUUGUUGCAAGUUUUACAUGGCUGCUAUGGGCUUCUAGCAAGAACCGUUCUUACCUACGCAUCAAAACCACAACGAUAUUUCGUCAAGUGUGCUGUUUUAACCUUCAACGAGGACUGGCCGUAGUCAAACUCGAUUCAAUUAAAGUUGGAUAAACAGACACCCGCCAGUCACCUAUAUGCAAAACAAGUUGCAUGUCUUUCGGUGGAACCGGCCUCAUGAACGUGGUCAUGUAAGGUUGGUUCGGGCCGCUUCAUCCAACAAUGCCGCCGAAUCAAAGUAAGACGUUGGUGGUAAGCAGUAUGACUAUGAUCGCCUACAACUCUUUGUGUUCUACUCGUGCAUAUCAUCUACGCAUAGACCUGGCUCGGAUGCCACUGUUGGGGAACGUAGCAUGCAAUUUCAAAAAAAUUCCUAUGAUCACGCAAGAUCUAUCUAGGAGAUGCAUAGCGACGAGAGGGGGAGAGUGUGUCCAUGUACCCUCGUAGACCGAAAGCGGAAGCGUUAGGUUAAUGCGGUUGAUGUAGUCGAACGUCUUCAUGAUCCAACCGAUCUAGUAUCGAACGUAUGACACCUUCGAGUUCAGCACAUGUACAGCUCGAUGACGUCCCUCUAACACUUGAUCCAGCAGAGGGUCGAGGGAGAGUUUCGUCAGCACGACGGCGUGGUGACGGUGAUGGUGAUGUGAUCCGUGCAGGGCUUUGCCUAAGCACUACGACGCUAUGACCGCAAGAGUAAACUGUGGAGGGGGGCACCGCACAUGGCUAAGAGAACAAUUGUUGUGUUUUGGGGUGCCCCUGCCCCCGUAUAUAAAGGAGGGGAGGAUGCGGCCGGCCUAGGGGGGUGCUCCAUGGGGGGGGGGACCGACUAGGACUCCUAGUCCAAGUCGGCCCCCCUUCCUUUCUUUCGAAGGGGAAAGGGGAAGGAGAGGAGAGUGGGAAGGAACGGGGGGCCGCACCCCCUUCCCCUUGUCCAAUUCGGACAGCCCAUGGGGGGCACGCGCCUUCCCUUGUGGGCUUCCCUCUCUCUCCCCUAUGGCCCAUGUUGGGCCAUCACUUCCCCGGGGGGUUCCGGUAACCUCCCGGUACUCCCAAAAAUACCCGAAACAAUCCGGAAACAUUCCGGUGUCCGAAUACAUUCGUCCAAUAUAUCAAUCUUUUCCUCUCGACCAUUUUGAGACUCAUCGUCAUGUCCGUGAUCUCAUCUGGGACUCCAUACAAACUUCGGUCACCAAAACACAUAACUCAUAAUACAAAUCGGCAUCGAACGUUAAUCGUGUGGACCCUACGGGUUCAAGAACUAUGUAGACAUGACUGAGACACAUCUCUGGUCAAUAACCAAUAGCGGAACCUGGAUGCUCAUAUUGGUUCCUACAUAUUCUACGAGGAUCUUUAUCGGUCAAACCGCAAUGACAACAUACGUAAUUCCCUUUGUCAUCGGUAUGUUACUUGCCCAAGAUUCGAUCGUCGGUAUCCUCAUACCUAGUUCAAUCUCGUUACCGGCAAGUAUCUUUACUCGUUCCUUAAUGCAUCAUCCCGCAACUAACUCAUUAGUCACAUUGCUUGCAAGGGUCAUCAUGAUGUGCAUUACCGAGAGGGCCCAAAAUACCUCUCUGAUACUCGGAGUGACAAAUCCUAAUCACGAUCUAUGCCAACCCAACAAACACCUUCAGAGACACCUGUAGAGCAUCUUUAUAAUCACCCAGUUAUGUUGUGACAUUUGAUAGCACACAAGGUGUUCCUCCGGUAUUCGGGAGUUGCAUAAUCUCAUAGUCAGAGGAACAUGUAUAAAUCAUGAAGAAAGCAAUAGCAAUAAAACUGAAUGAUCAUUAUGCUAAGCUAAUGGAUGGGUCUUUUCCAUCACAUCAUUCUCUAAUGAUGUGACCCCGUUUAUUAAAUGACAACACAUGUCUAUGGUUAGGAAACUUAACCAUCUUUGAUUAACGAGCUAGUCAAGUAGAGGCAUACUACGGACACUCUGUUUUGUCUAUGUAUUCACAUAUGUACUAAGUUUCCAGUUAGUACAAUUCUAGCAUGAAUAAUAAACAUUUAUCAUGAUAUAAGGAAAUAUAAAUAACAACUUUAUUAUUGCCCCUAGGGCAUAUUUUCUUCAAAAAUAAUAUAAAAUGGCAUAUUAAUGCAUAUAAACAUCCAAAACAGAUAAUAUAAUAGCAUAAAACAAUAAAAAUUAUAGAUACGUUGGAGACGUAUCACAAAACCUAUCAACAUAUGAUCUAGUUUUGAAGAUCUCGGCGCGAGGAAUCCAACGGUGAAAACGGUUCUAGAUUUGGACGCACGGUUUAAGAGAUAAAAUGUUUUGAAUAAACACAUCUACGAAAAAAAUGAUAAACUCUCAGGUUGCGACUAGUGGCGCAUAUGCAGCGCGCCACUUGUCACAACCUGGGAAAGUGGGAGUGAUCUUUGCAAUGGGUACUCCUCAAUUAGUGAUUUCGCAAGUUAUGGCCAACAAGGUAUACUACCAUGCAGUUCACCCAACUGAUGUCGGCAACACUAUAUAUCGCCCGUAUUGAGACGUAACUCAGUCUUGCUUCUCGGUGCGAGGGAGCGGGCCAGCCCAGAACUUCAGCGCCUCUUGCUUCAGUUUCUCUCUCUCUGUUGUUUAUCUUAUCGGGUUUGACCGUUUGCAUCAUGUUUUUGGUUUCUCUUUGUUUUUUCUUUUAUUUUUUUGGAUUUUUAAGUUUCUUUCUUUCUUUCUUGGGUUUUUCACUGAAUUUCUGUGGUUUACUUUGUUUUUUCUUUUCUUGAAAACAUGUCUACUUUUUUCUACAUAUUGUACAUAUUCGUAUACAACAGGAACAUUUUUUUACACAUAAAAAAAUAAUACAUGACUAACUUUUUUUUUGAAAUAUAUAUUUUGAUGUCUAGCUUUUUCAUACACAAUGUAUAUUUUUUUUGUAUACAUCUAAAACAUUUUCACACACGUCUAACAUUUUUCAAAUACGAUUAACAUUUUUUUUUUCAUAUAUAUGUUUGAUGUAUUCUUGUUUUUCAUACACAUUUACAAUUUUAGUAUACAUCUUAAAACGUUUUUAUGCAUGUUUAACAUUUUCUGAUUUUUUUUUCUUGAAUUCAUGUAAAACAUUUUUUGAAUUGGGUUUACCUAUCCGCCAAGACUCAGAAGCAAUUACAAGCCAUUGAUUUGUUCCAUAAGAUGAGUACCCACCGUUUAUCAGUGCCCCACCCAAUAGAUCUAAUCAGUUGAUAUUUCUUGGAUUCACUAUGGACGGCAGGUGCCAAAGCAACUCCAUUUGCAGCCGCGAGGACUCCAUUUUGUUUAAACCAUGCGAACAUUUGUUAUAUUGUAUACAACAAUUAUUUUUGAAACACGUGAAUAUUUAUAAAAAUGUACUCUCUCCGUUCCUAAAUAUAGGUCUUUUUAAGAGAUUCCAAUAUUGACUACAUUCUCAAUGUACGAAGCCUUUUUUGUGAAUUACGUGGACAAUUUUUUUAUUUAUAAAAAUAUUUUAAAAUUUUCACUUAUAUUUUUUAAAAACAUGUCAAUAUUUCUUAAAGUGUCACGAAUUUUUUUAUGAAUGUUACCAACAUUACUUUAAACAACGCUAACAUUUUUUUACAUUGCAUCAAAUCCAUGGUUUAUAGAAUUGUUUUAGUUUCUUUUUAAGUUUUUGGAAUACAUGUAUUUAUAAAUUCUCUUUCAAAAUUAUGAACGAAGAAGACAACAAAAAUGGAAAACAAACUAACUUGCAAGAGAUACUUGGGCUGGCCCAAUAGUAGAUACGGGAUGGUGCCCUUGAAGCGAGACCUUCUUUGGUCUUGAAACAGGUGAUACAAUGCUAUACGUUGCCUGGUAUGAGAAAUACAUUGGCGUAGCCCACAAUUGUUUCCCCAUUUUGUCGGCCCAAUACGACAGGUUUCCCCCUUCACGCGCUAGUUCAUCGCCGGUGUAUGUGCUAGCUCCUGUCCGGACUGGUUUCGUAGGCUGAUAUUCUUUUGUCCGCGCUUGCCUCCACCUAACCAUCUUAGUAGGAUGAUUUUUUUCUUUGUUAGUUAACUGGUUUACUAGUUUCUGAUCAGUUUCUUAUUUAAUUUUCAAUUAUUACCCCUUUCUCCUUUGUAUUUUAUUUUUUCCUUUCAUGAAAUAAAUGAAUGUUUAGUAAAUUUAAGAAAAUUGUACAAAUAUGUCAAUUUUUUUAACUUUACGAACAAUUUAUUAAAUUCUUUAAUAAUUUUAAACAUCAUGAUUUUUUUAAAUUAACAAAUAAUUUUUGAAACCGUUAGAAAUUCAAGAAUUGGUGGACAUUUUAUGAAUUCAAGAAUAAAUUUCAAAUUCAUCAACAUUUUUUGAAUCCACAAACAUAUUUGAAUUUUGUGAAUUUUUUUUAAAUCCAUGAACAUUUUUUGACUUCAUGAAACUUUUUAGAUUCAAGAUUUUUUUUAAAUUCACGAGCAUAAUUUUAAAGUCGUGAAGAUUUUUCAUAUUCUUAAACAUAUUGCGAAUUGGUGAAUAUUUUUGGGGAUUAGCAAACAUUUUUCAUAUUCAUGAAUAGUUUUUGAAUACUCGAACAUAAUUUUAAAUCAUGAAGGACUUUCAAAUUCAGCAUUUUUUAAUCCUGAAUAGUUUUUGAAUUUGGAAUAUUUUCAAAUUCAUUAUCAUUUUUUGUAUCCAGAUCAUAUUUUGAAAUUUGUGAACAUUUUUUAUAUAUAAGAACACUUUUUUCGAAACCAUCAACACUGCUUUUAAACUACUGAACAUAUUUUGAAUUUGUAAAUGAUUUUUGAAUUCAUGAAUAAUUUUUGAACCUGUGAACAUAUUUUUAAAUUUGCAAAUAUUUGUUAAGAUUCAUGAACAAUUUAUGAAUCCACGGGCUUUUUUAAUCUGCGUGCAUUCUUGUAAAUUCCUGAACCAUUUUUUAAUGCGACAAUACUUUUCAAAUUCAUUUUUUUUCAAAUUCAUGAAUAUCUUUUGAACCUGUGAACAUUUAAAAAAAAUUUACCUAGUAUUUAUGAUAAUUCACGAACAUUUUCAAAUGUUAGAACUUUUUUUUUCAUAUUUGUGAACAUUUUGUCAUUGUUCGUGAGAAAAUGGCUAACAAAAAGAAAAUAAUUCAAAUGUUCUACUCUCUCUGAUCCAUAUUAUUUGUCGCUGUUUAUCACAAAGUUAUGCUAAAUCAGUGACAAUUAAUACGGAUCAUAGGGAGUACAAUUGUUUCUAGGGAUACAAAUGCGAUGCAUACUUCCGCUAGUGCUAUAGUGGGUCGGCCCAUAGUUCAGUUGUAGGUGACGUAGUCUUUUCGUAUCGGGUGAGGUGAUUUGCCUCAAUCUAUCCAUUCUUGAAGAGACACAUAAAACUAAAGUAAAAAUAAAAAUAAAAAGAUAGAACACUUUGUUGGAGUAUAUAGUUGAGCAUGUGCUAUGUUUGGUUGGCACGAUCAUACUCAAGCCUAUGCCCUCCGCUGAUGGCUCUGUGUUAAAUCCCGGGCUGAUGGCUCUGUGGCAGCAACCACCCGGGCUCGCAACCCACACCGCUAGAAACUACCAGGCAAUGUGUUACCCUCGGGAAGAAAUUCAUGCAGAUACUCCAAUGUGUCAUCGGCGCUUGCAUAUGAAAUUUUGUGUUUUGCCUUCAUUUUUAGAAGUUUAAGCGUGACAUUCAAUUUCGUGUGCUUCUCUUUGCAACCAUGAUACAAUGGAGUUUUUGAGGCUUCCAAUAAUUUGACCAACCUUACUUCCUCUCGAGAAGUAGUUGCUUUGUUAGUCGUCUUCCUGUGAAGCAGCUUGACAAAGUUCGGGUACCGCAACAUUGUGGACAUCGUCUCCUGUGUGCCCUCCACUUCGGCCUCCUCAUCAUUUUCGGCCUCUUCAUUGUGUCCAGCCUCUUCAUCAUGUUCGGCCUCUUCACCAUUUAUGGCCUCUUCAUCAUGUCCAGCCUCCUCAUCAUCUCCGACAUGAUCACGAUCCAUCAUUCCUUGCUCAUUUCCAGCCUCUUGAUAAUAUUUUACAUCGUCAACAUCCUCCUCUCCGUGACGUGUCCACCUUGUGUAAUUUUUUAUGAUACCAUGCGUUAGCAGAUGAGUCUCCACUUCGCUAGAAAUGGCCGUUUAUAGAUUCGUGUUGUCACAUUUACGACAUGGACACCAUAAUUAUUUGUGACCCAUUUGCUUCAUGUGUUCCAAGACAAAUGAUAAGAACCCCUUAAUACUGCGAUCCAUUAGAUCUCUCGUCUACCUAACAUGCAUCUAUAAUACAUAAAUAGUUGAUCCCCACUAAGUCUAAUUCUCUCAACAUGCAGCCCUCCACAUCAUCAAAUAUGCCAUGUCUGAAGGAAAUAUGCCCUAGAGGCAAUAAUAAAGUUAUUAUUUAUUUCCUUAUAUCAUGAUAAAUGUUUAUUAUUCAUGCUAGAAUUGUAUUAACCGGAAACAUAAUACUUGUGUGAAUACAUAGACAAACAAAGUGUCACUAGUAUGCCUCUACUUGACUAGCUCGUUAAUUGAAGAUGGUUAUGUUUCCUAACCAUAAACAAAAGAGUUGUUAUUUGAUUAACGAGAUCACAUCAUUAGGAGAAUGAUGUGAUUGACAUGACCAUUCCAUUAGCUUAGCACCCGAUCGUUUAGUAUGUUGCUAUUGCUUUCUUCAUGACUUAUACAUGUUCCUAUGACUAUGAGAUUAUGCAACUCCCGUUUGCCGGAGGAACACUUUGUGUGCUACCAAACGUCACAACGUAACUGGGUGAUUAUAAAGGAGCUCUACAGGUGUCUCCAAAGGUACAUGUUGGGUUGGCGUAUUUCGAGAUUAGGAUUUGUCACUCCGAUUGUCGGAGAGGUAUCUCUGGGCCCUCUCGGUAAUGCACAUCACUUAAGUCUUGCAAGCAUUGCAACUAAUGAGUUAGUUGCGGGAUGAUGUAUUACAAGAUGAGUAAAGGGACUUGCCGGUAACGAGAUUGAACUAGGUAUUGAGAUACCGACGAUCGAAUCUCGGGCAAGUAACAUACCGAUGACAAAGGGAACAACGUAUGUUGUUAUGCGGUCUGACCGAUAAAGAUCUUCGUAGAAUAUGUAGGAGCCAAUAUGUGCAUCCAGGUCCCGCUAUUGGUUAUUGCGGAGACGUGUCUCGGUCAUGUCUACAUUGUUCUCGAACCCGUAGGAUCCGCACGCUUAAGGUUUCGAUGACAGUUAUAUUAUGAGUUUAUGAGUUUUGAUGUACCGAAGGAGUUUGGAGUCCCGGAUGAGAUCGGGGACAUGACGAGGAGUCUCGAAAUGGUCGAGACAUAAAGAUUGAUAUAUUGAAAGCCUAUGUUUGGAUAUCGGAAGUGUUCCGGGUGAAAUCGGAAUUUUACCGGAGUACCGGGAGGUUACUGGAACCCCCUGGGAGCUAUAUGGGCCAUAGUGGGCCUUAGUGGAAAAGAGAAGGGGCUGCCCAAAGUGGGUCGCGCGCCCCUCCCCUCCCUUGGUCCGAAUAGGACAACGAGAGGGGGCCGGCCACCCUCUCUCUUUUCCCCCCUCCGCGAAUCCUAUUCCAACUAGGAUUGGGGGGGGGGGGAUCCUACUCCCAGAGGGAGUAGGACUCUCCUGGCGCGCCUCUCCUAGGCCGGCUGCACCCCCCCUUGGUCCUUUAUAUACUGAGGCAGGGGAACCCCAGAGACAAGUUGAUCCACGUGAUCUUAUUCUUAGCCGUGUGCGGCGCCCCCAGCCACCAUAGUCCUCGAUAAUAUUGUAGCGGUGCUUAGGCGAAGCCCUGCGACAGUAGUACAUCAAGAUCGUCACCACGCCGUCGUGCUGACGGAACUCUUCCCCGACACUUUGCUGGAUCGGAGUCCGGGGAUCGUCAUCGAGCUGAACGUGUGCUAAAACUCGGAGGUGCCGUAGUUUCGAUGCUUGAUCGGUCGGGCCGUGAAGACGUACGACUACAUCAACCAAACGCUUCCGUUGUCGAUCUACAAGGGUACGUAGAUCACACUCUCCCCUCGUUGCUAUGCAUCACCAUGAUCUUGCGUGUGCGUAGGAAUUUUUUUGAAAUUACUACGUUCCCCAUCAAUGUCAUCAUCCACUAGAACUAUUUUAUACACAUGCAUACCACAAUUUAAUUGUUCCAUCUCCAAUAGUCCAACGUACAUGCAUACUCUUUGUUCACAUAUAAUUAGUUUUGAAAAUAAUAGUUUUCGAGUUAGAUCAUUUCAUUCAUAUAGAAUGUAUCCAAAAUUAAUCUUUAAAAUCCCGCAGCAAUGCGCGGGGAAAUCACCUAAUUAUGUAAGGAAGAAAGUUAGAACCAACGUAUAUUAUUGCAUAUGAAUCAUAGAAAAUUCUGACAUGACCUUUUCUAAAAAAAUUACAAAAUGGAGUUUGCCAGAAAUUCGACAAAAUGGUGAAGUGUCAAUAUUUUUUCAAAACACUGGCCACUCAUGCAUAUAUACCUGAAAAAUGCAUUGCACCACAUAGUACAUUGUCACUCGAAUAAAAGAGGUAGAUCCCUCAAAAGAACUUAUUUAGGUAAUCAUGCCCUAAUUAAUAUUGAGGAGGGGAGAGAGAUCUACUUAAUUUAUUGCAUGGAGAGGGUGGGAGAGAGACACUAAUUAAGUUCUAAGUUCCCUCACAAAAAAAUUUAAGUUCUAUGUUAGAGAGAGAAUAUAGCUAGAGGAAGNNNNNNNNNNNNNNNNNNNNNNNNNNNNNNNNNNNNNNNNNNNNNNNNNNNNNNNNNNNNNNNNNNNNNNNNNNNNNNNNNNNNNNNNNNNNNNNNNNNNNNNNNNNNNNNNNNNNNNNNNNNNNNNNNNNNNNNNNNNNNNNNNNNNNNNNNNNNNNNNNNNNNNNNNNNNNNNNNNNNNNNNNNNNNNNNNNNNNNNNNNNNNNNNNNNNNNNNNNNNNNNNNNNNNNNNNNNNNNNNNNNNNNNNNNNNNNNNNNNNNNNNNNNNNNNNNNNNNNNNNNNNNNNNNNNNNNNNNNNNNNNNNNNNNNNNNNNNNNNNNNNNNNNNNNNNNNNNNNNNNNNNNNNNNNNNNNNNNNNNNNNNNNNNNNNNNNNNNNNNNNNNNNNNNNNNNNNNNNNNNNNNNNNNNNNNNNNNNGCGUAGAAGAAAGUGUGGCUAGAAGUGGAUCGGCCGUAUAUAUUAUAGGCGUUCACACAAACUGAACGCUGCUAAUACUAGAAAAGUUAGCAGCGUCCAUAUCAACCGAACGCUACUAAAGCUCGGGCCUGACAGCCAUGUCAGGAACUAAACUAUAGCGGCGCUUGCCUUUUGAAAGAACGUUGCAAGCUCUACGAUCACUUGCGACGUUCAGAUGUGAUGGUAUGCUACUAGUUCUUUCACCCACGGAAUCUUCUGGGCACCACCUAUUGGCAACGUUUCGUACCAUGCUGCAAGUAGAAAGUUGCUAGCAGCGUUUACUGCUGCAACACACACAACUAGAUCUUCGUCAAAAUAGCUGCAACUUUCGGUACUGACGGGAGCUGCUGAUGUGAAAAAUUCUAUAAGGGGUUUUUCUACUAGCGGGAUAGCACAACACAGUGUGUGUAUGUCGUCCAAAAGAGAAAAUAAAAUAAAACAAACAAAUAAUAUUACUCUUACAAAUAAUCUAUUGUUGGACCAUCAUCCAUACUGGUUGAAGACAUCAUAUGCUACCAUUCUUCAAUGGUUGCACCCAAAGGUCAUAAAUGCAUGAUCCUCCACACUUUGUAGAGAGCACCAAUGAAUUUAUCUUGUAGCUCAAAAGAUAAUCUGCCCAUAAAAUAGGAUUCCCAUCUUUGGAAGUUCAAAUUCCAAGUUUUUGUAGUAGUAUUCCAUAAAUAUUUGAUAAAUGUCGGGUAGCCAAAGUUUUGACCUUGAGCUUUCAGAUAGUCACUAGAGGGCAACACGCGCUUUGCCGCGCCGUUUCUUGGUUGUGAGUUAAGUCUUUAUUUCUUCUGAUUAUUAUGGUUAAAGGUGAGCACUUUUACACUGAAAAUCGAAGAACCGAACUGAACUAAGUUGACUGACAUUCCUGGCUUAUUGAUUUGUGGUAUUCGGUUCGGUGUUUCUAUCACAGUGUUUGGGUGUAUUCCCAGUUUUCAUCCAGCAUAAACUAAAUUGACUGUCAGACCAUAUGCAUGGGAAUCGACCUUCCUUUUCUCUAACUUUCCUACCCUGCUGGCACAUGGGCGCAUGGUCCUAGGCCCAUGUACAAUGCACGCCCCUCAUACAACCCAACCCAAUCCACUCAUGCCUCUGCCUCUAAGAAUCACUCUCUUUGCACUGAUGUUCAUCCCCCAGAGGACUCCAGUCCCUCAACCUAGUCGCCUCACAACCUUGAGGUUAGAUUCACUGCCAUAGAGCCUAGCUACAACGACUCUCCAAGAGGUGCUAAUCUCGGCUUGGAUCUCCGGGUCCUUCCCCUAGCAUUAGCACGACAUUGGUCUACCACUGCGAAUCCGCCAACCGAGGAGCCCGACGAGGAGGAAGACGAAAGUAGCGACUCGACAGAUCGACGUACAAGCAGCAAGCUGAAGCCACCCUCUUAGGAACGCGCAGAGCAGAAAACCAGUACACACCUCCCUCGACAGCGAAAUAACCCACACACGUCUUUCCAUGAAUUUUAAAAACUUUCUGGAAAAUAUGUUUCUCGAAAAAUGUUUGUCAAUUAAAAACUUUCCAUGAAUUUUAAAAUGUUCACAAAUUUAGAAAAUGAUCUUAAAUUUGCAAAAUUUUAUUGAAUAUAAAAAAUGUUUCCAAAGUUCAAAAAGUUUGCUAAUUAAAAAUAUAUUCACAAAUUCAGAAAAUAUUCCUGCAUUUCAAAAAAAGUUCCCAGAAUUUCAGAAAUGUUAAUGAAUUUUAAAAUAUUCAUGAAUUUUAAAAAUGUUUAAAGAUUUUUCUAUGGAUCAGCGUAGGAGCAUCACAUUCAUGUGUGAAUAGGCCGAACCGCAGCGCACAUCCAAUUCACUCCCUAACAUCUAUCUAUUCGGACCACCAAUGCAGAAAAUACCUGGAUGCACCCAGAGGUUCCAUUCCUAGGGAGCUUAGUAACUUAAGAGAUAAAUGUUUUCGAGAUUGUAACCCAAGCACUACUCCAAAAACUAGAAUUGGUUAGAGGUUGGAUGAAUAUUCUUACAAAAAAGAAUGGAAGGCCUUUUCCAAUUAGGUGGAACAAACCCUAAUUAAUGCUAAUGCUAAUGCAUGCAAGCAUCCAUGCACGCGAAGUCUGUGUCAGUUAGUCAGGGGGUGUUUGGUUCCAGGGACUUUUUUAUGUUGGGACUAGAAAAAGUCCCUAGCAAAACAAACAGGGUGCGACUUUUUUGGGAUUCUUGCUAAAAGUCCUUAAAAGCACCUCCUUGAGAGUCUUUUUCAAAAAGUCCUAGGGACUAGAAAAAGUCAUAGGACUAGAGAAUCAAACACCACCUCAGUGGCACACAUUGCUCGCACCAAAGUCAAGAUCAACUUUUGCAUGAAUCUGACAUUGCAUGAGGCCACUUAUAUGCAGCGUCCUUUUGGCCCCUCCUAGAUUUCUUUUUCAUGGUCCACUUCUACUUGCUCCAGGCUCAGGGUGGUCUCUCCAAUCCUUAAUUUGCUCCUCCUCCUCCUAGUAUCUAGCCACUGCAUUGGUGCUAGUAGCUGUACUACAUUGAUCUUUUCAUGAGCACGGUGGACUUGAUGCACAGGUGGUUGAACCCAACUUUACACAGUUCACACCUCAGGAUCGAGCCUGCCGGACCACACCAUAUAUGUAGUGCACUGGCCUAGCUAGAGGUGCACAUCAUCAUAUGCAUAUGCGCUGAGGCGAGCUACACUUCGGUUAGCUUGAUAAUGAGCGGCUCAACCCUAGGAGUAUAUGUAUAGCUAGCUAGCUAGCAGCAUAAUCCUAGGGUUUAGGAUCUUAGCACAUAGCGUCUCAUUUGCAAUUGGUUUCUUAGUUAGCUAGGGAUCGAAUGGAAGAUUAUGGAUGUUGCAAAUGUAACAGUUCCUAAUGUAUUGUCUCAUGCGAACUUCCUAACGAGUCAUAUUCAGUUCUCAACGCCUGAUACGUGGAUAUUUGUUUGUCUACCUCCUUGCGUACUUUUUUAGAAAAGGAAACCUCCUUGCGUACUACUCCAUUCAUUUCGAGUUAUAAGAUGUUCUAACUUUUUUCUGAAUCGGAUGUAUAUAGACUUGUUUCAGUGUGUUUGUUCACUCAUUUGUGUAUGUAGUCUAUUUUGUAAUAUCCGAAACAUCUUAUGUUUUUUAAUAGAGGGAGUACUACGAAUGGAGCAAUAACGUCAGAGUCAUUGCUCAUCAAUCUAUCUAUCUUGCUGUUAGUGCUUUAUGCGAAAGUAGUUUUCAGUUGGUGGCUUGGUUCCUCCAAUAGCUGAGCAUGCACGAAGCAUAUAUGAUGGUACGUCUCAGGAAGAAAUGAUCGACGAAACAUGUGUGAAUGCAUGCAAUGUGCACGCGCGCUCGUCCCCACUCUCUUCUUAUCCAAACACACAGGCAUGCAUUAUGCGCCCUUGCGUCCUGAUGCAAUGCACCAACGUGCCCUGUAAAGCUGUUUGACAUGCUCAUGAUCGAUGCCAGUCCUACUUCACAUCCUUGUCUGUUAGUAUCAAGCAUAUUGUUAGUUGUUACCAUAUGUGAGGAUUUUGGUUAGGAUUUUACAGACUGGACCAUUCCAGAAAAUAGACGGUGAGAUGAUGUUUGAUGAACCGUGCCGGAACUUUAGCUCCGGUGCUCCUUCAACAUUUUGACACUUUCUCCGAUCACCCAACAUAGUCGGUCUAGACUGCUCCUCUCCUGAUCCCUUUUGUAUGCCUACAAAAUUCUGAGCUUUGUCUAGUCUAUUUUAGCUAUCUUGAUUCAUUUAUAUAUACUAGCAACUUGCUAUAUAUGCCACAAAACCGUAAGACACAAGGUCAAAUUUGUUUAACUCAAGAACCGUGUAAGGUAGCUUACUAGAUGAGUUUUGUCUAUAUUCUUCCUUGUCACCCUACAAUGAGAAUAAUUUGUAUACUCCCUCCGGCAUCCUACAAUCCAUAUAUAUUCUUCCUUGUCACCCUACAAUGUCUAAAAACUUUUCAUGUGGCCUUUUGUCCAUAGACAAUAUCUCUAUGUAGCCGACCACCUCCGGCGAAGAAGAUGGCCACCACCUCCACGCCCAGGGCUGGAGCCCUCAACGUCCUCGUGUCACGGGCCUAGUCCAGAGGCCGCUUGCCGCGCCGGAACAAAGGGUGCGCACGACGACUCGAGGAACCACCACCCCAGAUCCAAAUGGGAUCCAGAUCGGGCAUCCUAGCUGCCGAUGUUGUUGAGGAUAUUAUUUGUGCAUGUAUAUUGUCUUGUGUACAUUAAGCUCACCUCUCUAGUUUGUUGUAUAGAUUGAGAUAGAGGCCCCACAUUAUACUCAUAUAUACCGUGCACAUUGCACCGAAUUAAUACAUCGUACAAUUCCUACAUCCAAUAUGAUAUCAGUUUUUAGGUUCUAACCUUAAUCUUCCGCUGCCGCCGCGGCCACGCUCCCGCGUCGCCGCCGCCCGUGCGUCUCCUACGCCGGUCGCGCACGCUAGCGCUACCCGCUCCCGCGAGCUGUGCGUCUCCCGAUCGCUCCCGCUAGCCGCCAACACCGCCCGUCACCAGAUCAAUCGCUAGCUAGCUACGCAAGCCACCAGAUCAAUACCUACGCAAGCCACCACAUCCAUCGCUAGCUCGCUCCGCAAGCCACCAGAUCAAUCGCGGCCAACGCACCGAAGCGCCACGCCGCCCCCGAUCGCCUGCUAGUCCGAGCCGCUCCACCAAGCAGCCGCCGCCGCUACCUAGUGCCGCCGCCGCUGCUCCGUGUCGUAGCCAUCCCCUUCCCCUCAGCUUUCACCGCAACACCCACGCCGUCUCGUCCUCGUCAUGUCGUCCGUCAUGUCAUCCGCGUCCAUCAACUCCAACCCGUUCGCCGACGUCAACGACAUCCGCAAACUCAACAUCUUCGAACGGGUGCCGGUUCGUCUCUCCCAGGCGGAUUCCUCCUACCACACAUGGAAGACGUACUUCUUCCUCGUGUUUCAGAAGUAUCAUCUCAUGGACCACGUGGACGGCACCGUUGACUCCAGCCUCGUCCCCGAGUUUCACGACUGGUCAAUCAUCGACAUCACGAUCAUUCGCUGGUUUUUUUUCACCAUCACGCCCGACUGUUCCAGACGGUCGUGACGGACGGUGACGAUGCCUGCGCCGUGUGGACCAAGCUGAACGGGCUCUUCACCAACAACAAACUCUAGCGUCGCGUUUUUUUACAGCAAGAGUUCUUUGGGUGUCAUCAGGACAACACCUCCAUCGACGACUAUUGUCGCCGCCUUAAGACUCUCGCUGACGAGCUUCGCGAUAUCGGCGCCAAGGUCGAUGAUGACCUGAGUGCGGUUUUGUAUAGCUUGAGCUACGUGGUACCCCUUAUCUUAGCCAUCCAUUUUUGCAUCAGGAUCCAUGUAGAAACAUUUGUCAUUUUUGUUUCUCUCAAACGAAACAGCGUAUAAACUUCAAACUUCGCAGGACAACAAAACAUUCUAAUUACUAUGUGGGAAAAAACUUUCAGAUUUUUUCAUGCAUUUUAAAUGCUAAAAAAUAUUUUUUUUAUAAAGAAAAAUUCUCAUUUUGUAUAUUUAUGUCGGUCCAAAAAAUCUAAAAGUUUUUUCAUACAUUGAAGUUGUAAAGUUUGUUUAAUCUGGAAAGUUUGAAGUCUAUAUGUUAUUUCAUUUGAGAGAAACAAAAAAGAGAAAUCUUCUUGUUGUAAGUUAGUUGGAGAGUACGGAUCUCAAAGCAAUGUUGGAGGGCUGAAGAUAAGAGAUUCCAUGUAGCUCGACCUACAGAGAAACUUUACCAUGAUGACCUCCUUCUCAACACGCUCAACGCCGGGCUCAAUGAGGACUUCGGCAACGCCGCGGGGAACCUCAGCCUCAUCCCCAACCCGUCCUUCGCCAAGUUCGUUGCGUACCUCCGCUUGGAGGAGCGGCGGAUGAAGCAGGCGAAGACGCGCGCCCUCCACACCGCCCUCGCUGCCGGCACCACCCGCAGCGGGCCUUCGGUGCCUCCCGCUGCCCCGGCACCCCAGCAGCGUCAUCAGGCGCCUUUUCCGGCGCCCCAGCAGCCGGGGCUCCUGCCACUGCCGUACGGCCCGCCCGCUCUGUUGUUGCCAAACGGCAACCCUAGCUACCUCUCCCUCUCCUCACUCGCUCGAACAAGAAAGAAGGAAGGAGAUGAACACAGUGGACACAAGUUUCUCCGGCCGGCGCACGAACGCCGCCAUGAGCGCACGAACGCCCGAAUUUUUUUCCCUCUUUGCAAUGUCUACAUAGUGCUCUACUCAGUACAAACACACACCCACGGCGGCAGCUUUGUAGUCCUACAGCAAACGCAACGCCCACGUUUCUCCAGCUAGCUAUCCGCUGCAUGCAAACGAUCAGCCCGGCCAUGCACGCUACAUGCACUACGCGCUUGACGCGGCCAUCUCCACCGGCCGCUGCUAACAACCUGCUAAACACCACAACUAAUACAUGCAUGCAUGCCCAUCUAGCUAGCUCACGUGCUGACCACCACGCCACGCAUACCACGAGCACACACGCACACCCAUGCACACAGAUCACACACACGAGCACAUACUCAUGCGUGGCUUAUUUCUAACACGCUCCUCGUGCUGAAAAGCGCCGCGGGGCCGGCGCGGUGCCGCCGCGGCGGUCAGCAGCAGCAGCCACAACAAGCUGGCCAGCAGCAACAGCAGUUUCAGGCGCCGCCGCAGCUCCAGGUGUCGCCCCCAUGGGCCUCCGGCUACAACCUCUGGAUCGGUGUCGUACAUGCAUACACCAUGCCGGUUUCACGGGCUCCUGCACCGACGCUUCCCGUGUCGCGCCCACCGGCGCACCAGGCGUACUACGCGGCUCCGCAGCCAUACGGAGGAUACCCACUGCCGCAGAUGAGCGGCGCCUAUGGUCUCCCUGCGUUCCCGCCGCCGCCCUCGCCGGCCCUGCCGCCGGCACCUUGGGAUCCGACGCUUCUCGCCGCGCUGCAUGCUGCGCCUACGCCGAACAACUACACCGGAGGCGGUGAUUGGUACAUGAACACUGGCGCUACGGCUCACAUGUUUGCUCAUCCUGGUAAUCUUGCCUCUUUCACUCCUGUCACCACCGACCGUCGCAUCAUUGUCGGUGACGGUUCCACACUACCUAUCACACAUGUCGGGCACACUUCUUUUCCCUCUACUUCUAUGCCUAUUUCUUUGUCUAACAUUCUUGUGUCACCUCAUCUUAUUAAGAACCUUGUUUCUGUUCGUUGUUUAACUCGUGAAAAUCCUGUUACUGUUGAAUUUGACGAGCUUGGUUUUUGUGUCAAGGACGCUCGAACCAGGAUGGUACUUCACCGAUGUGACAGCCUCGACAAGCUCUAUCCGGUGCAUCCGCCGUCCACCUCCACCACCGCACCGGUUGCUCUCUCCGCCGGCGUCGAUCUCUGGCACGCUCGUUUGGGUCAUCCAAACCCCGUCACACUUCGUCAUAUUCUUAGGAGUUUCAGUUUCAGUUGUAAUAAGAUAGAGGAUCACACCUGUCAUGCCUGUCGUGUCGGCAAACAUGUUCGCCUUCCGUUUAAUAACUCCACCACCAUAGCUUCUUUUCCUUUUCAGUUGAUUCAUAGCGAUGUGUGGACCUCUCCGGUUCCUAGUAAUUCGGGCUAUUUAUAUUAUCUGGUUAUUCUUGAUGAUUAUUCUCACUAUGUGUGGACGUUUCCUUUACGACGAAAGUCGGAUGCACUCUCCACUUUGUCGGCCUUUUACUCCUAUGUCAGCGCGCAGUUUGGGCGUCCCAUCCUUGCUCUUCAGACUGACAAUGGAAAAGAGUUUGACAAUAUUGCUUUCCGCACUUUUCUGUCGCACCACGGCACCGUUUUUCGUCUCACAUGCCCGUAUACUUCACAGCAGAAUGGUAGAGCCGAACGCAUCCUUCGCACUCUGAACGACUUCAUUCGUACGCUCCUAUUCCACGCUAAUGUGCCGCCUCGUUUCUGGCCGGAUGCACCCGCUACUGCUUCACUUCUCCUUAACCUUCGCCCCUGCCGCCCACGGUGGAACUAUGCACCUCACCAUCUUCUCUUCGGUACGCCCCCAUCUUAUGAUGACUUGCGUAUUUUCGGGUGCCUUUGCUAUCCUAACACUGCGGACUCCGCUCCUCACAAACUCGCACCUCGUUCUGUCGCUUGCAUCUUCAUCGGCUACCCUUCCAACUCUAAGGGAUAUCGGUGCUAUGAUCCCGUCUCCCACAGUGUGUUCACUUUCCGGCAUGUUUACUUUGAUGAGCAUGUGUUUCCGUUUCAGCAGGUACCUCCGGCUGUUCCUCCCGCCACCGGUGACGCGGGCUCCUCGACGCCGCUCCCAGGGCGCUUGCGCGCCUCUCUUGGCCUGCCCCUGGCUUUGAGGCGCGGCCCCCGCAUGCGGCGCCUCCUACAGCCACGGCCUCCGCGACCCCCCCGGCACCCGCGGCCCCCUCGACGGCCCCGGCGAUGCCCCCCUCGGCGCCACCGGCCCCGGCGCCCGCGCCUCCGGCACCUGUGGCCGGUCCGGUCACUCGUGCCCGUACGGGCAUUUUUUGCCCGAGCUCGCGCUAGGACGCGGAUGACUACGUCCUUGCGGCAUCCACCUCUGAGCCGUCGCCGUUGCCAUCCUCCGUCCGAGCCGCUCUUCGUGACCCGCUCUGGAUGGCUGCGAUGCAAGAGGAGUUUGACGCCCUAUUGCGCAACCGGACGUGGCAGCUUGUUCCCCGUCCCCGGCACGCCCAUGUGAUUACCGGGAAGUGGGUCUUCAAACACGAGCUCCGUCCCGAUGGUAUCCUUGAUCGCUAUAAAGCGCGCUGGGUCGUUCGUGGAUUCCGAUAGCAUGCUGGCAUCAACUUCACCGACACCUUCGCUCCGGUCGUCAAGCCCGACACGAUACACACGGUUCUCCACCUUGCGGUCUCCCGUGCUUGGCCGGUGCACCAGAUGGACAUCUCCAACGCCUUCCUUCAUGGUCACCUCGAGGAGUAGGUCUUCUGCCAGCAUCCCACCGGGUUCGUUGAUCCGGCACUUCCCGACCACGUGUGCCUGCUUUCGCGGCCCUUGUAUGGACUCAAGCAGGCUCCGCGCGCUUGGUACCAGCGCAUCGUGGCGUUUCUUCAUCAGCUUGGGUUCCGCUCCAGUCGCUCGGACGCAUCGCUCUUCGUUUAUUACCAGGGCUCCGACACAGCCUACUUGCUGCUAUAUGUCGACGACAUCAUCCUGACGGCAUGUACGGCUGGCCUUCUCAGUCAGCUCAUGACUUGUCUUCGCGCUGAGUUCGCCAUCAAGGACUUGGGUCCUCUGCACUACUUCCUCGGUGUUGAGGUGGUGCGCCGUCCGGAUGGCUUCUUUCUUCAUCAGCGGAAGUACGCUCAUGAGCUCCUGGAGCGCGCUGGCAUGCUUAACUGCAAGCCCGCCGCCACGCCUACUGAUACAAAGGCCAAGCUCUCUGCCACGGAUGGUUCCCCUGCUUCGGAUGCUGCUUUCUAUCGGUCUAUUGUUGGUGCUCUCCAGUACCUCACUUUGACUUGACCAGAGAUCCAGUAUGCAGUGCAGCAGGUGUGUCUUCAUAUGCAUGCUCCUCGGGAUAUUCACUGGGCCACUGUCAAGCGGAUUCUCCGCUACGUUUGUGGCACUACGGAUCUUGGAGUCACGCUUCACGCCUCCGCUGACAUCGCCCUCACAGCCUACUCCGAUGCAGACUGGGCGGGCUGCCCUGACACACGUCGCUCUACCUCGGGCUAUUGUGUCUACCUUGGACCCUCACUUAUCUCGUGGUCGUCCAAGCGGCAGCCUAUGGUCUCUCGCUCUAGUGCUGAUGCUGAGUAUCGUGCGGUGGCCAAUGCCGUCGCUGAGUGUUCCCGGCUUCGUCAGCUGCUUCAAGAGCUGUCUUGCCCUGUUGACCGUGCCACGGUGGUCUACUGCGAUAACGUCUCGGCGGUCUACCUCUCCGCUAACCCGGUGCAUCAUCGACGGAACAAGCAUAUUGAGUUGGAUAUUCAUUUUGUUCGGGAACAGGUGGCUCUUGGUCAUAUUCGUGUUUUACACGUCCCUACUUCCCACCAAUUUGCAGAUAUCAUGACCAAGGGCUUGCCUACGGCGUCAUUUGAGGAGUUCCGGUCCAGUCUUUGCGUUAGCCGCGGUGCCGCUUUGAUNNNNNNNNNNNNNNNNNNNNNNNNNNNNNNNNNNNNNNNNNNNNNNNNNNNNNNNNNNNNNNNNNNNNNNNNNNNNNNNNNNNNNNNNNNNNNNNNNNNNNNNNNNNNNNNNNNNNNNNNNNNNNNNNNNNNNNNNNNNNNNNNNNNNNNNNNNNNNNNNNNNNNNNNNNNNNNNNNNNNNNNNNNNNNNNNNNNNNNNNNNNNNNNNNNNNNNNNNNNNNNNNNNNNNNNNNNNNNNNNNNNNNNNNNNNNNNNNNNNNNNNNNNNNNNNNNNNNNNNNNNNNNNNNNNNNNNNNNNNNNNNNNNNNNNNNNNNNNNNNNNNNNNNNNNNNNNNNNNNNNNNNNNNNNNNNNNNNNNNNNNNNNNNNNNNNNNNNNNNNNNNNNNNNNNNNNNNNNNNNNNNNNNNNNNNNNNNNNNNNNNNNNNNNNNNNNNNNNNNNNNNNNNNNNNNNNNNNNNNNNNNNNNNNNNNNNNNNNNNNNNNNNAUACAAAUAGCUAUUCCAAAUGAGGCAUGUGCCCUUGCAGCUGGUAGGAUACACUUGUCGAGUAGCUUUGGACUUAGUGUUACAUUAAUGGCUAAGUCGAUUUCAAAAGGUGUAAUUUCAGUUUACUGAUUAGUGUAAGUUGUAAUUUAUAUUGAACUGAAGUUACAUUUUGCAGAUAGAUUUAGACAUAAAGAAAUAUACCAGUUUAGUUACUUGUAGCUUGAAUUUAGAAUUUGGGUCAGUUGAAUUUCACGUGAAGGAAGGAACAGCCGGAGGGAAGGUAGGAGCAGCCUCGACUCGCCGGAGAAGCGAUUUGGGUCUAUCUUAGGGUGGUAGGCGACCCGGUAUCUAUCUUAGGGUGGCAGGUGACCCCAUUAUCUAUCUUAGGGGUGUGGGGGCUGGUGCAGGUUCGCCAAAAGAAAAACUGGUCAUCGCUGAGGUUAGAGGGAUGGCUGGGGGCGACGGCAGCAUGGCGGUGUGGGCGACAGUUGAGGGAAUGGUGGGGCGGCGAGUCAGUCGCAGGCGGCAGAGGAAGGCGCUUAGGCCUGAGCUGGAUCGGUGGGGUGAGAGAAAGAAGAAAAACAAUACAUCUGUUUUGAGGUUGAAGAUGAAGCAUUGUCCGUUGGAUCAAAAUCCAACGGUUGAGAUUGGACGGGGAGAAUUGACUGACCAUUUUUAAUUUUUCAGGCGACUAGCUUAGCCGCUCCCAAAAAAUCAACCGAACUGACCCAAGUAGAAUACAUGUGCAUUAUAUGUAGUACAAUUUGCAUGUGAAAAUUAGAGCUCUGAAAUAAACUAGGCUAGCUAGGAUUUCUGUUUAUCUGUAAACUUAUAGUAACACCAUAUGGCUACUAUAUAUGUCACUAGUGACGUAAACUGGAUUCUAGCACGUUCAAUAAUUCGCGGAGAAUGGUACUUUACGAGGUAUGGCAGGCAGGUUCGCGUCUUGAGGAACAUGAAUUAACAGUGCACAAAUGGCGAUGAUUAAUCAGGUAGAAGAAUUGAUAGGAGACAAUGUAUGCUUCCGAACAUUGCAGCACAACUACUGGAGACAAUGUAUGCCGACCUACCUUAGCAUGUGCAGACGCAAAGAUCAAUCUGGUGACGGUAUAUUGCCAAUUGGGUGCUGACGAGGACGAUGCAUGGCCCUAGUACAUGCCAUAUCGGGGGGAAAUAUUGUCAAAUGAGCGAGUUGCAUCUGGAUGUUUCCGCAUUUUGUUUAUGUGUAGAUAUGGCCAGGUUGACAUGCCACCCAGUUGAAGAAAUUAAAGAGUUAAUUUCUCUGAACCUGCACCAACAAAAAUAUAUAUACUCCCUCCGAUUCAAAUUAAUUGUCGCAACUCUAUUCAGUGUAAAAUGAACAUUGUAGAGUCCGCGUCAAUUAAUUCGGAUCGAAGGAAGUAGUACAUAUGCGAGCUGCACAUCGGCCUAUGUUAUUUGGUGAAUUUUGUAAUGUUCUACUUUAAGGGUAUCUCAAGUUAAGUAGUCACAAUAAAGGUUAGUAGAGUUUGUACAUCGAAAGCCACCGCACAACGGCAAAAUGAUACCUUGAUGUUUUUUAAACAGGUUCAGUUGUCUCAUUAGAGUGUGGCUCGAUCCUAUGUUAGGAGAGUGUAGUAGAGAAGAGGGGGUGGUGCAUUUUUUUGAGGGGUAGAGGGGGUGGUGCAUGGUCCACGGUGGACUAGGACAUGUACUCCUUCACCCAAUGGGCCUAUUUGUCUUGGGCCCUCUUCUUUUGAGUUUCUCUUAUAUAGUUCUUUUUUACUUAUUUUCUUGUGAGGAGUUUUUUUUACUUGUUGACCACGACUAUUUAUUUGGACUUUUAUUAACUUGAUUUGACUCCAAUAAUUUUCCAUAUAUUCAAAAAUAAUAAAAAUCAUUGAGAGAUUGAGUAUAGCAAAUGGUCUGACUUUUUCUCAAGAGCUAACCAGUGUGGAAAGGCAUUUUCUUUCCCCAUACUCCAUACCAGCAAAACAAUAUGACGUGGCAGAAUGGGUACUUACAUCGCAUCUUUUAUUUAAGAUGCCUGGCGGCUGGCGCACAGUUUGCGCGUAACGCUUUUUGUUUCAGUUUGUUUAAUUCACAUCUAUAAGUUUUAUAAGAAUGUCACAUCUAAGCUCUCACAAAUACACAGCAACAAGGAACAAAAAAGAAAAAGCAGAGACAAGAAAAUAGACAACAAACAUAAUGGACAUCAGGUUAGAUGCACUAGUAGAAAAAAGGGCUUUGGUUCAGGCCGGGUCAGCCCAUUAAUCCCGGUUCAGUCCAGAACCGGAACCCAUGGGGGCAUUGGUCCCGGUUCGUGAGGCCAAGGGCCUGCCGGGCCUCGUGGGGGCAUUGGUCCCGGUUUGUCUGGCCUCUUUGGUCCCGGUUGGUGGGACGAACCGGGACCAAUGGGCCUCGCUCCUGGCCCACCACCAUUGGUCCCGGUUGGUGGCUUGAACCGGGACCACAUGCUUCCCUUUAGUCCCGGUUCAUGCCACGAACCGAGACCAAUGAGGUGCCUAUAUAUACCCCUCGCCCGCGAGCAGAGCCUCCAGUGCUCUGUUUUUCUCUGGCCGACGAGGGGAGGGCUUUGUGGUGCUCUAGCUCACCUCCUAUGCACAUGAGGUGUUCGAUCAAAUGUCCAAGCCACACUAGUUAAGUUUUCUCCUCUCGAAGCUCGACCUCAAAACUCCAUUUUCCUCGAGAUUUUUCUAGGUUUAGCGGCCCGUCACGUCCCAUUCCUGUCUUCACCGCCGUCGAUCGCUCGCGCCGAUCUCAUCGCCGGCACCACCGUGGUGAGCCUCUUGUUCUUAUCUUCUUUCUGAAAGAAAAAAUGCUUACUUUAGAUAGACACUUGUCUAAUUUUCUUACUUUUAUUAUUGCUUGUUAUUAUAUAGUGCGAUGGUUUUGGUAUCCGCCCCCGUCGGCCCUCGUCCUGGCUAUGUUUCGUAUGUGGUAUAUAUUAUCUUUUUAUAACUAUUUGGUUCAUUUAUUGUUUAUGACAAUUAUGCCGACCAACGUGACAUAGAUUUUAUUUAUGUAGGAGGUAGUUGAACCGGAAAUUCCAACCGACCCUAUUAUCGAGAGGUUAAAUUUAGUUGAAGAAGAAAACAAUUACUUGAAGGAAAAAAUAAAAAAAAUUGAGGAGGAGAAGAUGAUAUUGGAGUUGCAUGUUGCGGAUGUCGUUGAUGAUCACAAGAUCAAGAUGGAUGCAAUGCGGUUGAAGAUGAGAAAGAUUAGAAAAUAUGCCAUUCAUACCGAGGCUUGGUAUCAUUAUGCCGUUGGAUGAAUUGUUACCCUUGAUUGCGAUUAUGAUCGCAUUUGUUUUCGCAUUGAAAUAUUUUACAUAGUUUCAAUGUAUGGUUUAAUUAAUUAGAUGCUCUGGAGAGCUAUAUGUUGUUAGAUGAGAACUAUGUAUGUACUUUGAUUUUAAUGUGAUGAUGAACUUCUAUUAAUUUGGUCACUUAAUUAUCUAUUCAUGAUGUUCUGUAAUGGUUUUUGACACACUUAAUUAUAUAUAAUGCACGCAGAUGAACCGACAAUGGAUGUACGGUGAUAGACACACCUCCGAGUACAUUAAGGGCGUGCAUGAUUUUCUCGAAGUGGCUGAGGCAAACAAGCAGAAUGGUUUUAUGUGUUGUCCAUGCCCUAAAUGUGGGAAUACGAAGUCUUACUCUGACCGGAAAAUCCUUCACACCCACCUGCUUUACAAUGGUUUCAUGCCACACUAUAAUGUUUGGACGAGGCACGGAGAAAUAUGGGUUAUGAUGGAAGACGGCGAAGAAGAAGAGGACGAUGACAACUAUGUGCCCCCUGAAUAUGGUGAUGCUGCAACGGGGGAAGCUGCUAAAGAUCAAGAGGAACCAGACGAUGUGCCCAAUGAUGCUGCAACGGGGGAAGCUGCUGAAGAUCAAGAGGAACCAAACGAUGUGCCCGAUGAUGAUGAUCUCUGCCGGGUCAUUGUCGAUGCAAGGACGCAAUGCGAAAGUCAAAAGGAGAAGCUGAAGUUCGAUCGCAUGUUAGAGGAUCACAAAAAAGGGUUGUACCCCAAUUGCGAAGAUGGCAACACAAAGCUCGGUACCAUACUGGUAUUCCUGCAGUGGAAGGCAGAGAAUGCUGUGCUUGACAAAGGAUUUGAGAAGCUACUGAAAAUAUUGAAGAAGAAGCUUCCAAAGGAUAACGAAUUGCCAGACAGUACAUACGCAACAAAGAAGGUCGUAUGCCCUCUAGGAUUGGAGGUGCAGAAGAUACAUGCAUGCCCUAAUGACUACAUCCUCUACCGCGGUGUGUACAAGGAUCUGAACGCAUGCCCUGUAUGCGGUGCAUUGCGGUAUAAAAUCAGACGAGAUGACCCUGGUGAUGUUGACGGCGAGCCCCCCAGGAAGAGGGUUCCUGCGAAGGUGAUGUGAUAUGCUCCUAUAAUACCACGGUUGAAACGUCUGUUCAGAAACGAAGAGCAUGCCAAGUUGAUGCGAUGACACAGUAAGGACCGUAAGAAAGACGGGAAGUUGAGAGCACCCGCUGACGGGUCGCAGUGGAGAAAAAUCGAGAGAAAGUACUGGCCUGAGUUUGCAAGUGACCUAAGGAACGUAUGGUUUGGUUUAAGCGCGGAUGGCAUUAAUCCUUUCGGGGAGCAGAGCAGCAAUCACAGCACCUGGCCCGUGACUCUAUGUAUGUAUAACCUUCCUCCUUGGAUGUGCAUGAAGCGGAAGUUCAUUAUGAUGCCAGUUCUCAUCCAAGGCCCUAAGAAACCCGGCAACGAUAUUGAUGUGUUCCUAAGGCCAUUAGUUAAAGAAUUUUUACAGAUGUGGAAUGGAAACGGUGUACGUACGUGGGAUAAGCACAAACAGGAGGAAUUUAACCUGCACGCGUUGCUGUUUGUAACCAUCAACGAUUGGCCCGCUCUUAGUAACCUUUCAGGACAGACAAAUAAGGGUACCACGCAUGCACGCACUGUUUAGAUGAAACUGAAAGUAUAUACCUGGACAAAUGCAGGAAGAAUGUGUACCUGGGCCAUCGUCGAUUUCUUCCGAUCAACCACCAAUGUCGAAAGAAAGGCAAGCAUUUCAAAGGCGAAGCAGAUCACCGGAAGAAGCCCGCCAUGCGUACCGGUGAUCACAUACUUGCUAUGGUCAUUGAUUUACACGUAAUCUUUGGAAAGGGUCCUGGCGGACUAGCUGUUCCGAAUGACGCUGAGGGACACGCACCCAUGUGGAAGAAGAAAUCUAUAUUUUGGGACCUACCCUACUGGAAAGACAUAGAGAUUUGAUGACCUCCAGCUUGACUACCCUACUGGUGAAGGGGAGACUCGGCUGGGUUCUUGUCUAUUGACUCCAUGCCUAUGGCGGAAGGAGCUCAUCAAGUUUCUGAAUUGGACGCCUCCGCCUCCUCCUCCUCCUCCGGCGAGUCAGGGCACUCCGCCUCCUCCUCCGGCGAGUGAUCAUGGCACUCAGCCUCCUUCUCCGGCGCGUGGCGGCACUCCGCCUCCUUCUCCGCCUGCGCCGGCGCACCCGAGCAGCCAGCCUCCUCCUUCUCCGCCUCGUCAGCAAGGGUGGAAGAGACCCGCUGCCGCUCCGGCUGCUCCGGCGCGUCAUAGUCCUUCUCCUCCGCCUCGUAAGCAAAGAAAGAAGACAGCCACAGCCCCUUCGUCUGCUCUGCCGGCGUCUAGCAGUACAGCCAGAGGCGGGAGGCAAUACAGAUUCGGUCCUUCUUUGAAGACUUCAGAGAAGUUACCAUACGAGAGGACCCCGGAGGAGAACACGAAGAUCUCGCGAGCCGAAGUGACGAACUUCUUUGAAGGGAUGAAAGCAAAGAAAUAUCCACCUCCGGAGGAGAAGGUAGAUUCGGUGAAAGCGAAGCACACUCUGGCUACCCUGAAAAAACCAGCAAAGUCUCCGCCGAAAGGCAACUAUGAGCGCAUUAUUGCAAAGUCAUUUGUCGAAGCGGAGCGGUCCAGAAGUACUGUCAGUGAUCAAAGGUUAAAAGAACGACGAGCUGGGAAAAAAAUUGCCCAGCUCGGCGAACAAGCGAACCAAUCGUGCCCCUCGCUCAAGGUGUCUACUAAUGAUCCGAGGAUGAUGCCCGGUUAUAGCAAUCUUGGAGAUUACCUGCCCGACGAUGUACAUUAUGAUUUCUUGGAGGUGGAGGAACACAAAUACGAGUACGGGAAGCCUCUCGUCAAAGAUGAAAGAUCUCUAACAACGAUGAUGCGAAGAUUCCAUGAUUGAUACAUGAAAACCUUCAGAGAGUCUGGGGGGAGGAAUACUUUGACGUUGAGAGUUAGAGAGGAGCAUGACCUCGUUGGAAUUGAACUGUUGAAUGUUCCAUUUGAGGAGUUCUUCCAGUUUUUCAAUCAAAAGGCCCUCGAUAAAUCAACGGUCACUUGCUACUGUUUGUAAGUAGUACUACUUCUGUCAUUAAGUCUCUCUAUAUAAGUCAGCUCUUUCAUUGCAUGUAUUUAUAAUUAUCCUCACUAUAUUAUGCAGAUUGAAGAUCGCCGAAUUGAAGAAAAGACAAAUCGGUGAUAUUGGGUUCAUUAACACAAAUCUCAUAGAUGCAAUUGAGGUUAAAUAUCGUGUCGAAGAUACCGAGGCCAACUUGCUACGAUCGUUGGUAAUAAAUGAAAACAAAGAUAUAAUACUAUUUCCUUACAGCUUAAAGUGAGUGUUACUGUCUUGUGCAUAUUCGGUUUCCCUUAUUAGUCCAGGUUAUAGUAAUGUAAUUGAUGAGUUAUGCAUGCGUGCGCAGCUUCCACUAUAUUCUUCUAGAGAUUAAGCUUGAGCAGGGACUAGUAACCGUCUUAGACUCGAGACAAAAAGAUCCCCAGGACUAUGCAGACAUGACUCAAAUGCUCGAGAAGUAAGUUAAAUCGAUCAUUAUCCACCAUAUCAGCAACUUUGUUUAUUUCCUGAUAUCAAGUAAUUGUUUUCUUUGUCUGGCAGAGUUUGGAGAAAAUUCACCAAAAAAGUUCUAGGACUGCCGAAGAAGCUGCAAUUUAGACACCCAAAAGUAAGUACUAUAGUAACAUGUUCUGCGCAUCUCCUAGUGAUUCAAGCGCUAGUUUCAUCAAUACCAUUUGGCAUGCUUGCUUAUCAGUUUGAUUGAUCUCUAUUUCUUGUAAAGUGGUUGUGGCAGGAACAAGGGAAUGAUUUCUGUGGAUACUACGUUCGCGAGUCCAUCCGCCAUACGACCUGUGAACGAGAGUACUCUGACGAACAAUAUGAAUGCGUAAGCAAUAAUAUUCACAAUUUUAUUUUAUUACCAUUAUUUGUGUUGAGUUUCAUUUAUUCAUAUAUAUAUGUAUGUAUUGACCCCCUUAUUCAAAUUAGAUGUUUCGGAUGCGGGAUGAACUCCUAGCACCAGAUCAUAUGCGAGCAAUUCAAGAGGAAUUGGCGGCAUUCUUCCUUGACCACGUGAUCGCUGAAGACGGAGAAUACUAUGUGGACCCUGUGUUCAUAUAUAAUUAGGAGAUUAUAUUGUAAGAGAUAAUUAUUGUAUAUAUGUAGCCGGUAGUGCCAGAUAGAUAUACGAGAACUUGUUGUUCGACCAAUCUCUCGGAGAAGGAGAGGUGGUCGAUAUCACUUCUCUCUGUAGGCAUAUGUUCAUGAUGAUCUUCUGUUUCCUUCAUUUGCUUACUAGCUAGCGUGUCUAGUCCUCUCUAUAUAUACAUAUAUAUAGCGUCGACCAAGUACGGACAUAAGAGAUGAUACUUCUCUCUAUUAAUUAGCUAGCUAACAAAAUAUAUGAAACACCUAAAUUAAACCCCCCAAACCCCCAACCCCUCCCCCCCUUUCAAAAAAAAACCCCCAGCCCCUGAAAUGCUGACGCGUGGAUGCCUAUUGGUCCCGGUUGAUGCUACCAACCGGGACCAACGGCCCUCCUGCCUGGGCUCGGCGCACCGAUCACGUGGAGGCCCAUCUGUCCCGGUUCGUGUAAGAAUCGAGACUAAAGGGUUAGGGCAUUAGUAACGACCCUUUAGUCCCGGUUCACAAACCAGGAUAAAAAGCCCUUAUCAACCGGGACGAAUGGUUUUUUUUACUAGUGAUGUGACAUAACUAUGUCACAUCUAAAUGUAUCCUAAACAGGCCCUUUUUCUUUCUUUCGAAUUAGCUAGUUUGUAAGUUAAGCUGCAAGCUCCCUAAGCAAGCUAAAUCAUAGUGCAAGGUGUUAGUUGCUUUUUUUUUGAGGAACCGACAGGAACACUGCCUUUCUCAUAUAGAAGAAAAGAGGUGAAAAACCCGGUAUAUACAAAGAUGCACACGUUUUGAAGGGAGCAUGGACAACCCUAGGAAUUUCACCGAUACAGGCUUAGCCCACACCUACGGUGGGCAUGUCAACACCAAACGCCCUCUCUCUUUGCUUGAUAUCGUCAAAGGCUAGCAUCGCCACCUCAUAGUGCGUCAUGCGGAACCCGUGAAAAUGUUACUUGCUUUGUAACGAGUUGAAAAAUUUCUUGCUUUACCAGCGGUACUACUACCUUUGUUUCUAAAUAUAAGACACUUGAACUCCCAAAAACGUCUUAUAUUAGGUGCACCCACGAUGCAUGCAUGUGCAUAUGAUCGAAGCUCCUCGUCUGCACUUUGGUUAAGUAGGGCACAAACUAGCAGAUUAAUUAGCUAGCCACUUGUUUGUCAGCGAGGCCUGCACGUGCUCUGUCACCCGUGACAUGAAGAUGGACGUGACAUGGCAAUAAGAGUACGCUUUGCGUGAACAUGUUAAUCGAUCUAUUUUUUUUAGAAAAGGGGUAUUACCCCGGUCUCUGCAUCAGAAAGAUGCAUACGGCUCAUAAUCAAAAAACAAAAGCAGUCACAAAAAUCUCCAACAUCUGAAGGUACGAAAAGAAAACAAGCUGCUCAAGCGAGCCUAAUCAAGCCACAACCGGCUGGCAAAUAAAAUAGGAGCACUACAUGCCUAUCCUAUUACAUGACCGCCAUCCAAACCGGUUGAAAAUACCCCGAGCUAUCAUCUUCCAUCGGGUAGACGCAGUAGCCAAACGCCCCCUGACCUCCGUCGGAGUGAGUAACGACCACAUACGGAUCAAUGCUGUGGCCCUGAAGAUAACCUGCAAAAAGUGAAAGUUCGUUUUUCUGUUAAAAACCAAAUCAUUUCUGCAGUUCCAUACUGCCCAUAACAAGGCACACACUCCGACACGAAUGUGUCUUGCUACAUCCAAGUUAACCCCAUCAAGCCAUGUUCCAAAUAACAUAUUGAUAGAGGUAGGUGGAGUAAUAUUAAAAGCAAUAUGAAUCGAACGCCAAAGAAUCUUAGCCAGCGGACAAUCUAGAAAGAGGUGCCUUAUAGUUUCGUUACAAUCACAAAAGCUACACCUAGCAGAACUCAUCCAAUUGCGUUUUGCCAGGUUGUCUUUUGUCAAAAUGACUUGUUUAUGCACAAACCACAUAAACACUUUGAUUCGCAAAGGUACCUUAACUUUCCGGACGUGCUUCGAGCAAGGAAUGACACUAGUGUUUAUGACAUCCAGAUACAUGGAUUUGACCGAGAACCUGCCGUCCUUAGUCAGUUUCCAAAACAAUCUAUCUGGCUGCUGAGACAGCUGGACAUCCAUCAACCUUCGUACAAGAUGAAGCCAUGCCUCCCAACGAUGGCCUACUAGCGUCCUCCAGAAGCUAAUAUUGAGAGGUGUGGAUUGUAAGACAGUUGCAACAUAGGCUUCUCGACGUUGAACAAUGUUAUAUAGAGUAGGAUAUUGAAGUGCCAGAGGCGUCUCCCCAAGCUACGUAUCCUCCCAGAACCUCGUGUUAGCCCCAUCACCGACUAAGAUUUUUGCCCUGUUAAGGAAGAGGGGCUUGACUCUCAUCAACCCUUUCCAAAACGGAGAAUCAGUUGGGCGCACAGUCACCUGAGCCAAAGUUUUAGCCUGAAGAUACUUAUUUCGCAAAAUCUGAGCCUAUGUGGCCUCUGUCUUGGACGAGAGUUUAAAUAGCCACUUGCUAAUGAGACAUCUAUUCUUGAUCUCUAGAUUUUCAAUGCCUAGACCGCCUUGGUCCUUCGGCCUACAGAUGAUAUCCCAUUUUGCAAGCCUAUACUUUCGUUUCAACUCAUCAUUCUGCCAAAAGAAACGAGAUCGAUAAAAGUCUAACCUCUUCCUGACCCCCACCGGGACCUCAAAAAAGGAUAAAAGAAACAUGGGCAUACUGGUUAAGACCGAAUUAAUCAGAAUUAAUCGACCUCCAUAUGACAUGAGCUUCCCUUUCCAACAGCUCAGUUUCUUUUCAAAACGAUCCUCGAUGCACUUCCACUCCUUGUUCGUCAGCUUACGAUGGUGAAUGGGUAUACCUAGGUAUGUAAACGGUAGCGAACCCAACUCACAUCCGAACAAUUGCUUAUACGCCUCCUAGUCCUCAUUAGCUCUUCCAAAGCAAAACAGUUCGCUCUUAUGGAAGUUAAUCUUGAGUCCAGACAAUUGUUCAAAUAAGCACAACACAAGCUUCAUGUUCCUUGCUUUCUCCAAGUCAUGCUCCAUAAAGAUGAUAGUAUCACCGGCAUACUGCAGAAUGGAUAUACCACCAUCAACUAGGUGCGGAACCAAGCCCGAAACCUGCCCCGCAUCCUUAGCCCGACCUAUUAAAAUGGAUAACAUAUCAACCACUAUGUUAAAUAGAAUCGGUGACAUGGGAUCUCCUUGCCUUAGUCCUUUGUGUGUCUGGAAAUAGUGACCUAUAUCAUCAUUCACUUUAAUCCCUACAAUCCCUUUUUGCGUAAAGGACUCAAUCUGGUCUCGCCAGGCCUUGUCAAAUCCUUUCAUACGCAACCCCUGUUGAAGGAAAAGCCAUUUAACUUUAUCGUAUCCUUUUUCAAAAUCCACUUUAAAAACCACACCAUCUAGUUUUUUUGAGUGAAUCUCAUGGAGCGUUUCAUGCAAGAUGACCACCCCUUCAAGGAUAUUUCUGUCUGGCAUGAAAGCGGUCUGGGACGGUUGCACAACUGAAUGCGCAAUCUGCGUGAGUCUGUUUGUCCCAACCUUGGUGAAAAUUUUGAAACUGACAUUAAGCAAACAGAUAGGCCUGAACUGCUCAAUGCGAAUAGCCUCUGUCUUCUUAGGAAGAAGAGUUAUCGUUCCAAAAUUGAGCUUGAACAAAUGAAGCCGACCAUUGAACAAAUCAUGAAACAUCGGCAACAGGUCACCCUUAAUAAAAUGCCAGCACUUUUUGUAGAACUCCGCCGGAAACCCAUCUGGUCCUGGCGCUUUAUUGUUCUUCAUUUGUGAAAUGGUCUCAAACACCUCUUUCUCCAUAAAAGGAGCAGUCAAAAACUCAUUCUCUUCCAUCUCAAGUUGGGGAACAUCCUCAACUCUUGACUCAUCCAGGGACACAAAACUCUCUUCCGGAGAUCCAAACAACUGCUUAUAAUAGUUGGUAAUGUAAACUUUCAGGUUUUCCUGACCAACUAUCGUCCCUUCAUCUUGUUCUAAUUGAAAAAUUCUCUUCUUACGAUGCUUUCCAUUAGCAAUCAUAUGAAAGAAUUGAGUGUUGUCCUCUCCUUGGACAACCUUACGAACCUUAGCUCUCAACGCCCAUUUCAAUUCCUCCUCGCGGAGAAGCUCUUUCAACCUUAACUCGGCCUCCACUUUAGACUCCAGCUCGGAAGUAUCUAAAAUAGAGGUUUCAGCUUUUAACUCAAGGGAAUGAAUAAUCAUAAGGAGUCUUUCCUUCUCAGCCUUAUAUAUCCCAUUCGUGUGCUUAGCCCAUCCACGAAGGAACCUUCGAAGAUGACGAAUCUUGCACUGCCACCGCUCAAUGGGUGACCUUCCCCCCGAGUCUUUAGCCCACUCUCUAGCUAACAACUCAAUAAACCCUUCUCUUUCAAACCAGGCAAGUUCGAAGGAGAAAAUAUUCUUAUUACCCAUAUGAGUUUGAGCUCCAGAGUCGACUAGUAACGGUGUGUGAUCCGAGAUACCUCGUGUCAAUGCCUGCACCGUUACCAGAGGAAACAUCUGUUCCCAAUCGACGCUCGCCAAAACACAAUCGAGCUUCUCAAAAGUCAGAACCGGUAGCGAGUUUGCCCAAGUGAAUUUCCUACCCGAAAGCUCUAUCUCUUUGAGAUCCAAGCUUUCUAUGAUAGUAUUGAACAUAAACGACCAUCUGCCGUCAAAGUUGUCAUUGUUCUUUUCCUCAUUUCUUCGAAUAAUGUUAAAAUCCCCACCCACUAAGACGGGCAGUUGCUCGUUACCGCAAACACGGACCAAAUCAGCCAAGAAAUCUGGCUUGAGUUCUGGUUGCGCAGCCCCAUAGACUGCCACCAAAGCCCAAUCAAAACCAUCCGCUUUAGUUCUGACCCGAAACUUUACUGCAAACUCACCCAACACUACACUCCGAACCUCCAACGUUUCACACUUAACCCCAAGUAAAACCCCACCGGAUCUUCCUCGAGGUGGGAGGCAGUGCCAGUCAAAAUCAACCCCCCCCCAGAUAAGGUACUAAGAAAUUGUGGAGAAAAAAAUACCUCGUCCAGUCUCGGACAAAGCAAUAAAGUCUAAAUGAUGUUCAAGAGAAGCCUCUGCUAGAAACCGUCUUUUAGCCAAGUCUUUAAGACCUCUGCUGUUCCAAAAGAUGCCUCUCAUAUUUCAUCAUGAAAUUUUCUAGAGGUACGGAUCCUAGCACUUCUACGCACAGCCGACGCCGGAUAAACCUUCCGUUUCCAGGUCCGUUUAGGCUUAACGCGAACAUCAGAAGGUUCGGCACGUUCGGAUUGAGCCUCUACCACCAAAGACUCAUCCUCAAGGUUAGAUGUUUCAGGGAGGCCAUACUCAUCCUCCUCCUCCGCCUCCUGUACCGCAGGAUCAAGAUCAGCACACAAACCAUCUAGAACUCUAACCCCAAGCGCAUCAACCUCCGAUUCAUUCAUCGGCCUAAUCGCCGCCAUGUUACGAAUCAAUUCUAACGCUCGUUCAGCUUCCAAAUCUAGCAUAUCAUUAACAGACUUAGAAAUCUCUAGAUCAUUAUUACCAAGAGAUACUCCUAAUUGGUUAGCAUUUUGCACAAUCUCAUCAUUGGUAAAAUGCAUAAUAGAAUUAGACUUGUUAACAGACAUACCAGUAGAAAGCUCGACGUCACGCAACUUGGCCGCCCUCAACGCGCACCUGAGCUGCAUGUCAUCAACAUCCGGCUGCUCCUGCAGUCUCCCGCUGACCCGUCUCCCUGCAGAGACAGGAUCCGGGAUCCCACCGAAAGCGAUGACCUCCUCGCGAGAAGCUGCGCUGGGGAAAGAGCCUCCUGCCCGUCCCCCAACAGCGGUGACCAGCGCCGGGGCCACCGGAGCAACAUCCAACGGCGACGAGAGCUCCCAGGGCCCAUCGACGGCCACCCCGCCGACGCCCGCGACCGGUGAACUCGGCCUAGCGCGGUCCAGGGAGUCCGGUGCCGCAGCAACCAAACCACCCAGCCCGCCCUCCAGAGCAACAGAAGAGGAAAAGACGGCCUCCUGCACGCCCGCUCCCCCGCAAACCGGCGACCUCACCAAGGGGGCCGCGCCGACCCUUGGGACCGCCAGCGUCAAAGGCCCAGAGGGCCGAGCCUCCUGCUCGCCAUCUCCUCCCAUGACCACCGGCUCGGCCGCUUCAGCCUAUGCCGAAGGAGAGGAAAUAACCGAGGGCGGGACAUCCUGCCCCGAAGCACCUCCGCCCUCAGCAGACCUCGACACCCGCAAACUGAGCACCGGGGUCAUAGAACGGACCCUGUCACACGACACCCUCGGCGGAGCCGAGAACGCUCCAAAAGAGCCAAGCUGAAGAGUGGUAGUCGGAACUGUGCUGGAAGUCCCAACAGGGGCGGAGUCACCAUUAUCAGACUGCCCGAAGGCCCCUAACUAAUCUCAGCAAAUGCUUGGUGCGUCGAUGGAACCAUAUAAUCCAAGGAAAACGACUAUUCCCGGAUGAUUUGGUGGACAUGAUCGUAUAUGCACACCACGAUGGGCGCCACAUGAUUAGCUGACAGAGUAAUCAAGCCCUUGAAAAGUUGUACUACUAACACUGCUAUUGCAUGCAUCAUGCAUGGAUCGACACGUAAGGAUCCUCCUCGAUCAUCACUUCAUCAGGUGCGGUCCCUGCCGAUUCUCGAGUCGAACGGCCAGGCCCCUGACAGCCUGCAUGCGCGCAGGUAAGAUCGCACGCCGGCUCCUGCACGCACGCACGGACGUACGCAGGCUAUCUGCGCAGGCUAUCUGCCAGUACUACUAGCCCAGUUAUCUGCUCUGACGGACCAAUGAUCCGCCUGCAGAGACGCACGUGGCGCGUGACAUCCGGAUCGUCGAUCACGUCACGUCAAGGGUGGUAAUGGCGAGACCAACCGCGUGUUAUCCUUUUGGAUCACGCGGCGCACGUACGUACACGGUACACGCGUAUACGUGGAGCCACGGCAUGCCUACGUGCGUGCAUGCAUUGUUUUGUGUACUGUGGGAUGCACUGCAGGCUGAUCUUGCUGGCGAGCUUUCGAGUUGAUCAUGAAGUAUAUGCCUCGACCACAUGGAGGGGUAUGUAAGAACAACUCUAACAGUUCUCCAAUAACCGAUUAAAGCAUCUCUAACAGCCGUCCAACACGCGGUGCGCUAAAAAGUGCUUUCUAGCGCGCCCAUAGCCAGAAAAAGCACGACGGGCAACGCUGGUUCCAGCAGCCGCGCUAAAAUGCGGCGCGCGCUAUCGCACGAACAUUGCGUACAUAUUUUCAAAUAAAAAUAAUACAUAAUAAAAUUCAUAGAUAAAAACGAUACAUAGAUAUUUUAUAUAGUUUUAUAGCAUAGAUAGAUAAAACUAUGGUGCAACGACAUAAAUAAAAACAACUAGAUAGUGCAACUACAACCUACUCCCAGUCGUCCUCCUCUUCCUCCUCAUCAUCCUCGCUGGUCUGGUCCGAGGUAUGGAGCCACAUGUCCUCCCAACGAGGAUCAUUAUCCGUAAAAAUUGAUUGCCCACCUGCUUCAAUGAUACCGCACUGCGAUAACGUCAGGGCCUUCCACCGACGCCUGUCCAACCGAUCCGCACGGCGCUUUGCCGUCUUCUCCCGCCUAGUAGGCUUGCUCGUUGGCGACGUCCUCUGGAUGGCGCCAGCGCCACUCCGCCAUGCCUCGCUCGUCCUCCUCGACGACGAGGAGGCGGCGCUGUCGCCGAGUGUGCUCCGCACGGUCCUGGUCCGUGAUAAGACGAGGUGGAGGGGCGACGUCCUGCGCCUGCUGGCGCGUGUGGACGUACUGGAAGUUCAUCUGCGCGCGCAGCCUGUCUAGGCGCCACGCCGCCGCGUCGUACGCGCGGGCGGCCUCGUGCGCAGUCUCGAAGGUGGCGAGGCCAAGCCGGAUCUCGGCGUAGUACCAGCCGUUGGGGCGCUGUCGGACGCCGCGGUAGACCGAAGCUCCUCGGCGGCGCGGCGGCAUGGUGGCACGUCGGUGGCGGGGCGCUGGAGCAGCGAGGAAGAAAAAGGAAGCUACAAGAAAGCGGGCGAGAGCGCGCGUGUAGAUGUGAGAAUAGCCGCGUGGCGAGCGCCGCAAUUUAUAGGCGCGCUGGACACGGCGCACCAAAAGUAGCGCGCGAGCUGCCACCUUUUCCCGCGCGCGCAAUCGUUUCCCGCGCGUGCUACUUUCCCGCCACCGCUGGAGCGCGCCAAAACGUCUCGCACGCGCUAAAACGCCAGUUUACCGCGUGCACAUGUAUUUUGGCGCGGAUGUUGGAGAUGCUCUUAGGGGAGGAUAUAUUCGUUAUUUCUCUUCUAACCAGCACCUAGCCGAACCCCAAAGACCUUAGGGUAGUAAAAGACCGGUUGUGACUCUUAAAUAUGCUCGACUUGCGGCUACGGAGUAAAAUCCAACAAGCCACGCCGCCUCUCCUCCCCCCAAUUCCUGUCGCCCAAUCCCCGCCGGCGCGGCCCCUAUCUCAUCUGCACCCACUCUGGCGCCGUCCUGCCGCCGAUAAUGGCCGGAUCCCACUGCUACUGCUCCCCAUAGCCCAUCCCCAGCGAUGAUCCGUGCCACCACGAGCGGGCCCGAGCCCGUGGCCUCGGUGGCGCAUCUUCCUCGCGUGCCUGCCUGCCUGCCCGGGUUCCCUGACCUCCCACCGCUACCGUUGCAGAGGCAAUACAUCGGCAUGCGGCAGCACCGACGGAGAACGCGGGUGGCAGAGAUUACCGACCACUACACCCAAGAAAAUAAAUGGAUCGGGUCCUUCCAUUCAGUCGAGCAAGCGGCGUGCGGGUACGACAUCAUGUCAGUCCAGCUGCACGGUGCCGACGGCCGCCGCAACUUUCCUCCUGGGUGGCUGUCGUGGUUGGAGCCCGUCAACCAGCGGGUGGCCACCGCACUGUAGAGGAGAGAAGACCGGGAAGCCCGCGUGUGCCUCGCGGCAGAGCAAGCCGACGAGGACUACAUGUCGGAGCUCCAUCGCAACUACCAGGAGCGCAUCGAGGCGGAUCAUCGACUCUUUGAGUAGUACGCGGCUGAGGCGAUGCAGGUCAUCAAUCUCUCCAACGACUCCAAUGGCGACGUCGGUGGCAAUGGUGCGCGACAGGACCCUAUGAUCGGAGGGCUGACCGAAUUGGAUUGUAAGUGGCUCGAGAAUGAGACGGAUAGCCAAUAGCUUAGUACUCCCUCUGUAAAGUAAUAUAAGAGUAUUUAGAUCACUAUUUUAGUGAUCUAAACACUCUUAUAAGAUAUCUAUAUAAAAUAUUACAAAUCUGCACCGAAUUUUGUUUUAGUAAGUUUUAUGUACUAGUUUGAACCAAAUUUGUGUUUAUAUGUACCGAAUUUGUGUUUAUGUGUCACUCAUUUUUCUUACUCCGCUAAGUAUCGGGGAUCGGUUACAAAUGGUCCUUUUAGAGGAGCAAGUGUCGUUCACUGAAGAACACUCGACCGUAUCCUCCACUAAAUUUUAAUGGAUCAGUUAGAGUUGCUCUAAACGUAGGGAAAGCUAUGGCGCAAUCAUCGUUUGCCGGUGUUGCGGCGCACAGUUUGUGCUAAAUUUUCUGUUGUAAGCCUGGUAAUUUAACGCGAGUGCAGUGUCACUGUUUGUCUGACUGUCGGCCACGAUUAGCGUUACGUGAUCGGCCUCUGACCCUGCGUGAGGAAAUGUUAUGUCAGAAUUACAUCAAUGACAAAUGCCGCAGCACGCGACAAAUUGAGGGAUGCUUCCGGAGGACACACGGACACGGUCGAAAGGGCAGAGAGAUAGGCUAACGUUAACAUCAGCCGGUCGAUCUGUUUGGAACAUGCCAUGCCAGUGCAAUGAUACAAGAUCCACCUGCCAAUGCAUGCAAAGCCGUACGUGGACCAUGCAUGCACAAAUGCAGUGCUCCCUCCGUUUCAGUUUACAAGCGUGCGUGUACCCCUAGGUUGCCAAUUUUAUCACUAUAAUAAAAACUAUAUAACACAAAAAUUAUACCGUUUGAAAGUAGAACAUCUUAAGUUUAUAAUGAUAUGUUUUUUGUAAUAUAUGAUUUUUAUUAGGUUGGUCAAAUUGACGACCACAGAAUACGUGCACGCCUUAUAAACCGAGAGAGAAGCAAUAGUUCGGAUAGCUUGGGCACCGACACUUAUUAGCCUAGCCUUAACGUACGCGCGAUUUUUCUAAUUAUUGGCGCAGGGCCGUCAUAUGAAUGCAAGCAACCAACGCCAGACACGCACCAACGUAAUCAUGCAUGGCGCUGACGAUAGAAUCGUACUUAAACAGACGCACGUACAGUGUCAAGUUAUUAUUAUUGACAGCGAAUAAUAAUGGAUCUUUGGACAUAUCUCAUCUCUAGCCUGCCUAGCCAAUAGCCAGCCAGCCAGCCAUCCAUGUUCAAAAAAAGCUAGCAUGCCAUAUCAUCUCCAAAUGACAAGUCUGCACCCUUUACUGGAUGUACUGUCGUUUUUUAGCAAUAGUACUUACGCUCUGAUCAAAAUCCUGCACGCACAAGGUUGUGACGGGUGUGUUCUCUAGUGUUGUCAUCUAAGACAUUCAUUUAGGCGAGAGACGUGACCAGUAGAAUCAUCCGGUCGUCCGAUUCACAAGAAACAUUGGCCCAGACAUAUAGGCCAACGUAAUCUAGAAACAGAAAACAUGUAGGCAAAAAAUAUUAGCUACGGUUGUGUGCAUUUUAGUUAUGCAGAGGCCACAUGUUGCUCAUCAUACUUCUAUUCGCCUGAUGCUACAUUCUAAGUUAAUAAAAACACUCUUUAUAAGAAAAACAUAUAGGCGAAAGAUAUUACUAAGCAUUGCAUCUAGCAAUAUUGUCUCCAAGACCGAUUUUCAUGAGAGUAAUAGUGGUCGUAGGUAGGAUUAUAAACUUAACCCGUGGCGUAUUCACAGGAAAAAAAACUUAACCUGUGGUGCUUGAUAAAAAGUGUAAGCUUACCGGAGUCUUAGAGUCUUAGCAAAGGAAUAACUUGCAAGACGAAUUGAAUAAAAUUCUUAGGGAGGAAGAAAUCCAAGUGGUACCAAAGAGGGGGAUAGCAAUACUAAAUAAUUUACGAUUAAGGCUAAUGGGAGGAAGUGCAAGAGUAAAAUCUUUAGAUUUAUCCAGCAUGAAGGGAUCAUUCAAGGGGAUGAUCUCUUGCUUAAUUAAGUAUGCAACCAAUUUUUUAUAAAGACUUGUUUGGGAAUGUAGAUCUACCUCCUUUGUCUUUGUCUACCCCAGUUACGUGGUCUAACUGUCAACUCGAUUCUGCCAGAUGCGUUCUCAAUCGUGUGUUCAUGUCUGCGGAUUGGGAAACCAAAUUUCCUAGGGCCUUACUAACGAUGUAUUCUCAUAUUGGCAUUGAUCACACCCCUUUGCUGGUGGAGUCCGCCCUCCCUCCUGCUUUGAAUUUAAAACAAGUUUGUUUCUUAUUGAGGGAUUUAUCCCUCUAAUCCAAGAUAAAUGGGGUUCCCUUCAUUCUGAUCGCUCGCACUCGUUUGGACCUAUCGACGAUUGACACUUCUGUUCCCAAUGCUUUCGUAAAUUUCUUAAAGGCCGCGGGCCAACUCGCGAGUUGAUGAUAUCAGAUCCAAGUGCCCGAUUGAUGACCAAAUGAAACUUCAAGACUCCAUCGCUAAUAUGGUUGGCUUGGAUGUGGCUGGGUGGAGUCAUAGAUGUGACCAUGAAGCUAAUAUUGUGGCUCUUUACCAUUUCAAAUAACUUUAUUGGAAACAGAGGUGUAGCAUUAAGUGGAUUCUCAAAGGUGAUGCCAACAUGAUAUACUUCCAAGAGCUAGCUAAUGGUUGACAUCGUCGAUGCAAAAUUAACCGCUUACUCAUCAAUGUCUCCCUUUCCUCAGAUCUCCAUGCCAUCUCUUCUUAGGUCUACGAGUUUUAUUCCACCCUUCUCGGUGCUCAACCUCCCCCGGGCUUUCUCUUCCACCCUUUGGCCUGGUCAAGGGAUCAGCUAAUCUCUGAUGAGGAUAAUACUGCGCUCAUGCCCCCUUUCUAAGGAGGAAAUGGAUGACGCCAUUUCCUCUUCUGAACCUGCUGCGGCCCUGAGGCCGAAUGGCUUGUCCAUUCCUUUCUUGAAGAAACUUUGGGAACACUUAAGCCCUUAGUCUACAAGAUUUUGCCUGGGCACUAUUAACAUCUCUCACCUUAACUACACCAUUCUUACACUAAUCCCCAAAGUAAAAAGAAUGCAUAUAAGAUUCAUCUGUUUAGAACUACUGCCCUUAUCAACAAUACUACUAAAUUCCCUUCCAAGGCCUUUACAACUAGAAUAUCUCCUGUUAUUCAUAAGAUGAUAAUCCCUCUUCAUACUACUUUCAUUAAAGGUUGUUUCAUUCUUGAUGGCAUCCUUACUCUCAACGAAUCACUCCAUGACAUCCAUUCUUUGAGGCGUGGAAUUGUCAUUCUUAAACUUGACUUAAAAAAAGCCUACAUAUCCUUCUUGCUAGAGGAUUCGUCCUUGCUUACGUUCUUCGCCUCAUGCAGUUAGUUUGCGGGGGCUAGGUGUCGGGGCGUGUGUGCAGAACACACACGUGAAACCGUGGACAAGAGACGUUCUUCUGCUAGUUCAGGAUUGAGGCACGAAGGCACAAACCUACUCUACCAAAGUAUGCACACUGCACACAAUGAUUUACCCAGGUUCGGGCCGCAUGGUGAGAAAUACCCCACUCCUGCUUUUUGUGUGUUUUGAUGGGUGGAUUAGAGCUACAAAGCCCUCUCGGGAAUGGGGCAGGCAGUGUAUCCCUACUUGUGUUCUACCAAGUGUCCAACCCUAUUCCUCUUCGCCCGAUCCUCCUUUUAUAGGUCAAGGGGUACCACAAUGGCGUAGUUGCUAAGGAAUCGCCCAGAGCAGACAUGUAGGUGAGCGCAUUAGAUGCGCAAUGGCGUGUUGAUAUGUCCCAAACGAAUCUACUUUUUCAAACACUUUUGCUCUUGUUUUGGACUCUAAUUUGCAUGAUUUGAAUGGAACUAACCCGACUGGCGUUGUUUUCAGCAGAAUUGACACGGUGUUGUUUUUGUACAGAAAUAAAAGUUCUCGGAUUGAGCUCAAAAUUUACAAAGAAUUAUUCCAAAAUAUAUCAAAAAUAUUAGCGAAUGAAAUUACCAUAGGGGUGGGGGCACUAGGGCACCACAAGACCAGGGGUGCGCUGAUACGUCUCCAACGUAUCUAUAAUUUAUGAAGUAUUCAUGCUGUUAUAUUAUCAUUCUCGGACGUUUUACAAUUAUUUUAUAACAACUUUAUAUCAUUUUUUGGGACUAACAUAUUGACCCAGUGCCAAUUGCUGUUUUUUGCUUGUUUUUUACAUCGCGGGAAAUCAAUAUCAAAUGGAGUCAAAAUACCACAAAACUUUUGUGGAUUUUUUAUGGACCAGAAGACCACCAGUGGGCCAGAGAAGCACCUGGGGGUGCCCCGAGGGGGGCACAACCCACCAGGGCGCCUGGGGGCCCAGGCGCGCCCAGGUGGGUUGUGCCCACCUUGGUGGCCUCCCGCAACCCCUCUUUUCCCUAUAAAUUCCCAAGUAUUCCAAAAACCCUCGGGGUUAACCUAGAUAAGAAGUUCCACUGCCGCAAGGCUCUGUAGCCAUCGAAAACCAACCUAGACCCCGUUCCGGCACCCUUCCGGAGGUGGGAAUCAUCACCGUUGGCCAUCUUCAUCAUCCCGACGGCCACCACAAUGAGGAGGGAGUAGUCCACCCUCUGGGCUGAGGGUUUGUACCAGUAGCUAUGUGUUUAAUCUCUCUCUCUCUCUCUCUCUCUCGUGUUCUUGAGAUUGCACGAUCUUGAUGUAUCGUGGGAUUUGUUAAUAUAGUCAUCAUAUGGUGUUUUCCCCUCUCGAUCUUGUUGUGAUGAAUUGAGUUUUUCCCUUUGAGAUUUCAUUGUUAUCAGAUUGAAUACUUUUAUGGAUUUGAGAGCACUUGAUAUAUGUCUUGCAUAUGAAUACCCCUGGUGACAAUGGGGUAUCAUAUUGAUUCACUUGAUAUAUGUUUUGGCACUCAACUGACGCAUUCCCGAGGUGACAUUGGGGUAAUCUAUGCAUAGGGGUUGAUGCACAUUCUUGUCUUUGUUUCUCCGGUAGAAAUUUUGGGGCACUUUUUGAAGUUCUUUGUGUUGGAUUGAGUAUUAUGAAUAUGAAAUUAUUUGGUGUUAUUUUAGUACAAACUCUUGGGUACAUCGAUAGGAAAGAAUAGCUUCGAGGUGGUUUCAUACCUUACAAACAAUUUUUUCUUAUGUUCACCGCUAGAUAGGAACUUUGGAGUGAUUCUUCAUCGCACUUUGAGGGGUGGUUAUAUGAUCCAAUUAUAUUAGCACAAUUGAGAGAUUGCACUAGCGAAAGUAUGAACCCUGGGCCUCAUUUUCAAGCAUUGCAAUACCAUUUUUGUGCCCAUUUACUAUUUACUACCUUGGUGUUUUUAUUUAUUCAGAUUAUAAAAAUAUAUUUCUACCAUCAAUAUUACACUUUUAUCACCAUCUCUUCACCGAACUAGUGCGCCUAUACAAUUUGCCACUGUAUUGGGUGUGUUGGGGACACAAGAGAUUUCUUGUAUUUGGUUGCAGGGUUGUUUGAGAGAGACCAUCUUCAUCCUACACCUCCCACAGAUUGAUAAACCUUAGGUCAUCCACUUGAAGGAAAAUUGCUACUGUCCUACAAAACUCUGCGCUUGGAGGCCCAACAUGAGUCUACAAGAAUAAAGUUGCGUAGUAGACAUCAUGCGCCCACACCCAGGGCUCGCCUAGAAGGCUUGUGGGCCCUUGGCAACUCCCGCAACCCUAAUGCCAACUCCAUAAGCACCUAUUCGUCAAGAAAAAAAAAUCAAGGAGAAUGAACCAUCAUGUUUUACCAUACAGAGCUGCCGCCACCUCCUGUUCUUCAUCGGGAGGGCUGAUCUGGAGUCCGUUCAGGGCUCCGGAGAGGGGGAUUCGACGCCCUCGUCAUCAUCAACCUUCCUCCAUCACCAAUAUCACGAUGCUUACCACUGGAGUGAGUAAUUCCAUCGUAGGCUUGCUGGACGGUGAUGGUUUGGAUGAUAUUUAUCAUGUAAUCGAGUUAGUUUUGUUAGGGCUUGAUCCCUAAUAUCCACUAUGUUGUGAGAUUGAUGUUGCUAUGACUUUGCUAUGCUUAAUGCUUCUCACUAGGGACCGAGUGCCAUGAUUUCAGAUCUGAACCCUUUAGGUUCUCACGAAUAGAUUUGAGUUCUUGAUCCUAUCUUGCAAGUUGUACGCACCUAUUACGUGUUAUGAUCUGCAUACCCCAAAGAGACAUAAAUUGGGAUUCUUUCCGCUGAUUACCGUAUCUUGAGGAGUUCAUGUAUUCACUAAGUGCUAAUGCUUUGUUCUGGUUCUUUAUUAAAAGGAGGCAUUAAUGUCCCUUAGUUUCCUUAUGGACCCUGUGAUACGUCUCCAAUGUAUCUAUAAUUUUUGAUCGUUCCAUGCUGUUACAUUAUCAUUCUUAAAUGUUUUAUAUUCAUUUUAUAGCAACUUUAUAUCAGUUUUGGGGGCUAACCUAUUGACACAGUGCCUAGUGCUAGUUGUUGUCUUUUGCUUGUUUUUUACUUCGUGGAAUAUCCAUAUCAAACAAAGUCCAAAUGCAGCAAAACUUUUUAUAGAUUUUUUCUACCCAUAAGACACCCAAGAGGUCCAAGAAGUGCACCAGAGGGGCCUUGUGGGGCCCACAAGGCACCAGGGCGUGCUAGGGCCCCCAGUCGCGCCCUGGUGGGUAGUGGGCCCGCAGGCAGCCCCUCCACCACCUCUCAGCUCUAUAAAUACCCAAAUAUUCCAAAAACCCUAUGGGAGUUGACGAAACACAAUUCCAGCCGCCGCAAGUUCCAGAACCAUGAGAUCUAAUCGAGAGCCCCAUUCUGGCACCUUGCUGAUAUGUCUCCAUUGUAUAUACUUUUCCAAACUCUUUUGCCUUUGAUUUGGACUCUAAUUUGCAUGUUUUCAAUGGAACUAACCCGGACUGACGCUGUUUUCAGCAGAAUUGCCAUGGUGUUGUUUUGUGCAAAAAUCAAAGUUUUCGGAUUGACCUAAAAAUUUAUGGAGAAUUUUUGUGAAAUAAAUAAAAAAUAUUGUCAGAAUAAUAUACUAGAGGGGAGCCACCCAAGAGCCACAAGCUCAGGGGCGCCCCCCAAGGCGCGCCUGGUGAGCUUGUGGGCCCCUUGGACCUAUUCCUUAUUGGGAGGGCUGCUAAUCCACAAGUAUAGGGGAUCUCAACAGUUUUCGAGGGUAGAUUAUUAACCCAAAUUUAUUGAUUCGACACAAGAGGAGCCAAAGAAUAUUCUCAAGUAUUAGCAGCUGAGUUGUCAAUUCAACCAUACCUGAAAGACUUAAUAUCUGCAGUGAAGUAUUUAGUAGCAAAGUAGUAUGGAAGUAACGGUAACGAUGGCAAAAGUAACAGUAGAAGUUUUGUAGUAAUCAUAACAGUAUGGAAACGGAAAAGUAACUUAGCAAAGAUCAAUAUGAAACAAGCUCAUAGGCAAUGGAUCAAUGAUGGAUAAUUAUGUUGGAUGGCAUUCAUCAUGCAAUAGUUAUAACAUAGGCUGACACAGAACUAGCACCAAUUCAUAAAUAUAAUGUAGGCAUGUAUUCCGAAUAUAGUCAUACGUGCUUAUGGAAAAGAACUUGCAUGGCAUGUUUUGUCCUACCCUCCUAUGGCAGGGGGUCCUAUUGGAAACUAAGGGAUAUUAAGGCCUCCUUUUAAUAGAGAACCGGACCAAAGCGUUAGCACUUAGUGAAUACAUGAACUCCUCAAACUACGGUCAUCACUGGGAAGUGUCCCGACUAUUGUCACUCCGGGGUUGACGGAUCGUAACACAUAGUAGGUGAAUAUAACUUGCAAGAUAGGAUCAAGAACGCAAAUAUAUUCAUGAAAAAAGAUCUGAAAUCAUGGCACUCGGGCCCUAGUGACAAGCAUUAAGCAUAGCAAAGUCAUAGCAACAUCAAUCUCAGAACAUAGUGGAUACUAGGGAUCAAACCCUAACAAAACUAACUCAAUUACAUGGUAAGUCUCAUCUAACCCAUCAUCGUCUAGCAAGCCUACAAUGGAAUUACUCACGCACGAUGGUGAGCAUAAUGAAAUUGGUGAUGGAGGAUGGUUGAUGAUGACGAUGUCGAUGAUUUCCCCUCUCCGGAGCCCCGAACGGACUCCAGAUCCGCCCUCCCGAGGAAGAACAUGGCUUGGUGGUGGCUCCGUAUCAUAAAACACAAUGAAUCCUUCUCUCUAAUUUUUUUCUCCCCGAACGUGAAUAUAUGAAGUUGGAGUUGAGGUCGGUGGAGGUCCAAGGGGCCCACAAGGAUAGAGGCCACGCCCCCACCCUUGUGGCCAGGGUGUGGGCCCCUUCGGUUGAUUCUUUCACCAAUAUUUUUUUUAUUUAUUCCAAAACUGGUCUCUGUGAAGUUUCAGGUCAUUUUGACAACUUUUAUUUCUGCACAAAAAUAACACCAUGGCAAUUCUGCUGAAAACAGCGUUAGUCUGGGUUAGUUCCAUUCAAAUCAUGCAAAUUAGAGUCCAAAAUAAGGGCAGAAGAGUUUGGAAAACUAGAUACAAUGAAGACGUAUCAACUCCCCCAAGCUUAACCCAUUGCUUGUCCUCAAGCAAUUCAGUUGACAAACUAAAAGUGAUGAAGAAAAACUUUUAGAAACUCUGUUUGAUCUUGUUGCUGCAAAUAUGUAAAGCCAGCAUUCAAGUUUUCAGCAAAGAUUAUGAACUAACCAUAUUCACAAUAACACUUAGGUCUCACACUUACUCAUAUCAAUGGCACAAUCAACUAGCAAGCAAUAAUAAUAAAUCUCGGAUGACAACACUUUUUCAAAACAAUCAUGAUAUGAUAUAACAAGAUGGUAUCUCACUAGCCCUUUCUGAGACCGCAAAACAUAAAUGCAAAGCACCCCUGAAGAUCGAGGACUGACUAGACAUUGUAAUUCAUGGUAAAAGAGAUCCGGUCACAUUCAUACUCAAUAUAAAUUAAUAACAAUGCAUACAAAUGACAGUGGUUCUCUCUAACUGGUACUUUUUAUAAGAGGAUGACGACUCAGCAAUAAAAGUAAAUAGAUAGGCCCUUUGUAGAGGGAAGCAGGGAUUUGCAGAGGUGCCAGAGCUUGAGUUUUUGAAACAGAGAUAAAUAAUAUUUUGAGCGGUAUGCUUUCAUUGUCAACAUAACAACCAAGAGAUCUCGGUAUCUUCCAUGCUACAUACAUUAUAGGCAGUUCCCAAAAAUAAUGGUAAAGUUCAUACUCCCCCAAAACCAACAAGCACACUCCAUGGUUGGUCCGAAACAACGGGUACCGUCCAACUAACAACAGUCCCGGGGAGUUUUGUUUGCAAUUAUUUUUGAUUUGAUUUGAGCAUGGGACCGGGCAUCCCGGUUACCAACCAUUUUCUCGUGAAUGAUGAGCGGAGUCCACUCAUCGCGAGAAUAACCCACCUAGCAUGGAAGAUAUUGACAACCCUAGUUGACACAUGAGUGAUUCGAGCAUACAAAACAGAUUAUCAUUUGUGGGUUUAGAGUUUGGCACAUGCAAUUUACUUGGAACGGCGGGUAAAUACCACAUAUAGGAAGGUAUGGUGGACUCAUAUGGAACAACUUUGGGUUUAUGGAAGUGGAUGCACAAACAGUAUUCCCGCUUAGUACAAGUGAAGGCUAGGAAAAGACUAGGAAGCGACCAACUAGAGAAAGACAACAGUCAUAAACAUGCAUUGAGAUUAACCAACAUUGAAUGCAUGCAUGAGUAGGAUAUAAAUCACCAUGAACAUAAAUAUCAUGGAGGCUAUGUUGAUUUUGUUUCAACUACAUGCGUGAACAUGUGCCAAGUCAAGCCACUCGAAUCAUUCAAAGGAGGAUACCAUCCUAUCAUACUGCAUCACAACCAUUUUAAAAGCAUGUCGGCAUGCAAAGUAAACCAUUAUAAACCCAUAGCUAAUUAAGCAUGACAUGAGUAACUAUAAUAUCUAAUUGUCAUUGCAAACAUGUUUCAUUCAUAAUAGGCUGAAUCAGGAGCGAUGAACUAAUCAUAUUUACAAAAACAAGAUAGGUCGAGUUCAUACCAGCUUUUCCCCAUCUCAAUCAUUUCAUCAUAUAUUGUCAUUAUUACCUUUCACUUGCACGACCGAAUGGUGUGGACAAUAAUAAUAGUGCACAUGCAUUGGACUAAGCUGGAAUCUGCAACAUUUAAUCAAAGGAGAAGACAAGGUAAUAUGGGCUCUUUGGUAGAUCAACAAUAAUGCAUAUGGGCUCUUGACCCCCAAAGAAAAGAAAAGAAUUUCAAAGAAAUGCACUGAAAUAUUUUUGGAGUCUUUGUUUUUUCUGAAGAAAGUAAAACAAGAACGAGAAAAACUAUUUACAUGGGAAAACUCCCAACAAAGAAAAGAAGAACGAGAAAUCUUUUUGGGUUGUCUUUUAAUACUACUACUAAGCAUGCAUAGAAAGGAAAUAAAAUAGAGCUAAUAAGUUGUUUUGGUUUUUCUUAAGGUUAAUCAAACACACAAGAAGAAAGCGGGAAAAAGAAAUAAACUAAUGUGGAUAAUACAAUGAAAAAGUAUGAACACCGACAACUGAAAUGAUUGUGUGAACAUGAAUGUAAUGUCGGUGAGAAAUGCGUACUCCCCCAAGCUUAGGCUUUUGGCCUAAGUUGGUCUAAGGCCACCACUGGCCUGGAUGAUACAUUACAAAAAAAGACACAUCCGUGACAUUUUGGGCCGAACGAAAUUUUUUCUGUCAUACAUAUGACACUUCUAUGACGAUAAUUGUGACAAAACACGGUAUCAUCAUAGAUGUGGUGGGCUCCUACUUCUAUGACAAAAAAUCAUGACAGAAUAUGGGCUUCUCGUCCUGGGCGGGCCGGAGACGCAUCCGCAUGACAUUCUUUGGGCCGUCCAUGACGGAAAAAACCGUGGUAGAAGUAAGGGGGAGGAAAAUUUCAGGGAGUUCCCAGUUACGGUGGGAGGUCGGGGGCCGAGCGAUGCGCGUUUCUCUCGUACACGUACGCACAUGUGUGCGAGGCGUUGGCUCUAACUGAACCAGAGCGAGGCGUUGGGCUCUAACUGAACCCGAGCGAUUGCACUGCAGGCUACGCAUUACUGAACCCGAGCGAUCGAUUGAUGGCUGUUAACUGAACCCGAUCGAGCGAUUCCUUCGCUACUACUGCUAACUGAAGCCAAUCGAUGCUACGUCUGGGAUGAACAGUGAGCGUUGGGGGGGGGGGUUGGAUGAACAGUGAGCGGUGGCGNNNNNNNNNNNNNNNNNNNNNNNNNNNNNNNNNNNNNNNNNNNNNNNNNNNNNNNNNNNNNNNNNNNNNNNNNNNNNNNNNNNNNNNNNNNNNNNNNNNNNNNNNNNNNNNNNNNNNNNNNNNNNNNNNNNNNNNNNNNNNNNNNNNNNNNNNNNNNNNNNNNNNNNNNNNNNNNNNNNNNNNNNNNNNNNNNNGAGCGGUGGCGUUGCCUCUGGAUGAACAGGACCCCGUGGUGUGGUGGAGGGCUGGAUGAACAGUAGACGAUGGAGGGGUGCCCGUGGAGGGGUGGUUGAACAGGACCCCAUGGUGUGGAGGGCUGGAUGAACAGUAGAUGGUGGAGGGGUGCCCGUGGAGGGGUGGCUGAACAGUAGACGGUGGAGUAGCGCGCGGUGGAGGCUGGAUGAACAGGAGCCCGUGGAGGCUGGAGGAGGUCGACGGUAGCCCGUGGAGGCUGGAGGAGGUCGACGGUGGAGAUGAAUAGUAUCCCGUGGAGUCUCGUUUUGCGGUACGCCACACCCCUCCCGAUGAACAGGACCCCUGUUUCGACCGUAGGAGGUCCAUUUCGUCCGUUCUGCGGUAUGCCACACCCCUCCCGAUCAACAGGACCCCUGUUUCGACCGUUUUGCGGUACGCCACACCCUUCCCAAUCAACAGGACCCCCGUUUCGUCCGUUUUGCGGUACGCCACACCCUUCCUGAUCAACAGGACCCCUGUUUCGACCGUAGGAGGUCCGUUUCCUCUGUUUUGCGGUACGCCAGACUCCCCCCGAUCAACAGGACCCCAUUCCAAACAUAGGAGGUCCGUUUCCUCCAUUGCGUGGUACGCCGGGCCUUGUCUCCAUCGCCUGUUCCGUCCAAGCCCUCCUGAUGAACACGACCACGCAUUCUGUUCCGACCCAGCCAGUUGGCUCCCACGCCUUCCGUUGCCUCCUGAUGAACACGACACAUUCCGUUGCCUCCCCGUGAACACGACGAUGACGCUGUUUCUCCGUUCCGACCCAGCCAUGUACAUGAGCCCUGGCCGUACGUAUGCGUGAGUAGGCGUUCAAGACCCCGCCCGCAUGUACACAUACGUGGCCGUAUUUUCUUUCUUGCACCCUGGCCGCUGUACAUACGUGUACAUGCUACGUGCGCGCCUCUACUAUGACACGUACGCGCCUCUACUAUGACACGUGCACGCCUCUACAUCCACCAGUAUAUAUGUACGUACACGUUCGCGACCAGAAUGACAACGCUACAUACGCUUUGACUAGGUGGGUCUCGACUGUCAGGCACUUCUUUGCCUGCGAAGAUAUAGCUGGUGGGUCCCAGCAGUCAGGGGGGCGAAUCCUUUUUUUUUUGCCCGGACGCACUUCCUUGCGUGCGAAGAUGUAGCUGGUGGGUCCCAGCAGUCAGGGGCAAACAUUUUUUUUGUGAAAUAUGGUGGCCCGUCCGGUGGGUCCGCGCUGUCAGGUGGAGGAAUAAUUAUUUUGCACGUAAUAAGGAGGCACUUCCUUGCUGCGACCGUGGACCCAGCUGUCAGCCUCUCCACGUACAGUCCAUGUCCGAUGGAAACCGUUCCUUCACCACGUUGACCACGCCGCGCCGAGAGCACCAGGGCGGUGGACGACGGUGAGGCCUAGGAAGGGGACGAGAUACGGAGCCGGGGAAGACGCAGCAGUGGAUGCCCACGCGUAGAGGAGUAUGAGGGUUCACUGGUUCGCUGCGGUGUGAGGCUGGCGUCGCCGCAGAAUAACAGGGGGUGUCGGUCGUUGACCACGUUGACCAGGCCGUGAUGAGAGAACCAGGACGGUGGAUGACGGAGAGGCCUAGGAAGGGAACGUCACGGAGGCAGGGAAGACUCGGCAGUUGUUUCCCACGCGGAGGGGAGUACGACUGUACUAGGGUUUACUGGUUCGUCUGCCGUCGCCGGAGAAUAACAGCAGGUGUGGGUGAGUAGAGGGAUGGCUAGGCCAGCGAUGGGAGUACGGUGGGGCGGUGAGGCCUGUGCGGCAGCACAGCCAGCCGUUGGGAGGAUGGAGUAGGCAGUCCCACCGGCGCUUGUUUGAGCGGCUGGAGCAGGAAGAGCAGAGAUUGAAGAAGCACGACGGCCGUUCGAUGGACAUCCAACCGUCACUGCUUGUGCGUCAACCUUUUUUUAGGAAAGCCUCAAAUCUGUGGAAAAUAGCAUACAACCCAUCUGCCAUUAUUUCUAAUAAUUUACAGCCCAUUUGCUAAUUCUUAAGGUUUUUUUGGAGCCCAUAUUCUUUUUGUUAGCAUUACAUCCCAUAUUGUGGCCACGGUUAAAAAAUUAUACGAAAUUUUGCAUAUUUCGGUGCGGUCCGAACUGUUUUUAAUCCCGAAAUUUCGACUCACAUUCAAACUGAUUUAAAAAAUAAAUGUAUAUCAAUAUAAAAUCCAACAAAUUCUCCACGCAUAAAAACUAAUGUAAUUUAAAAUCUCGAAAUGAAAAAAAGAUAUUUGAAACUAAUUGCCGGUUUGAUGUGUUUUAAAAAUGUACAACCCAUUUCUCAUUACGGAUGGGCCAUUUUCUCGGCCAGCUGAAUGAAAGCUCUCCUCGUCUUGAAAGAUUUGCAGCCCAACAGGCCUGACAAAGCGACUUACAUGGCAAAUCACAAAAAAACUGGGUUGUGGCCGUGGACCCAGCUGUCAGCCUCUCCACGUACAGUACUCUUCCGAUGGAAGUCGUUCCUUGACCACGUUGACCAAGCCGCGUGGAGAGCACGACAGCGGUGGACGACGGCGAGGCCUAGGAAGGGGACGACGUGGAGCCGGGGAAGACGCGGCAGCGGAAGCCCGCGCGGAGAGGAGUACGAGGGUUCACUGGUUCGGCUGCGGUGUGAGGCUGCCGUCGCCACAGGGCCUGGCCAGCGGCGGGAAUAGUAGGGGGCGGUGAGGCCUCUGCAUAGCACAGCCGGCCACGGGAGGCAGGAGCAUGCGGCACGACCAACGCUACUUUGGGCGGCUGGAGCAAGAAGACCAGAGGUUGAAGAAGCACUAGGGCCGUUGGAUGGACAUUGUACGGUCACUAGAGCUAGAAUCGUUCAUAUUGACUAAGUUAGAAAAGCCCUUCGUCCCCGUCAACUUAGUAGGCCCACAAGUCAGCCUCCCACCAAGAUGGGUCCCAGCUAGCCAGGGGAGUAUUCAAUUUUUUGUGCGUAAUAAUGAGGCACUUCCGGUGGGUCUGAGCUGACAGCGAGGGGAACGUUUUUUUCGCGAAAUACGAUGGCCCGUCAGGUGGGUCCCAGCAGUCAGGGGGAAAACAUUUUUUUCGCAAAAUACGAUGGCCCGUCCAGUGGGUCCCUGCUGUCAGUUGGAGAAAUCAUUAUUUUCCGCGUAAUAAGGAGGCACUUACUUGCUGCGGCCAUGGACCCAGCUGAGACUCUCCAUGUACAGUAUACUUCUGAUGGAAGUUGUUCCUUGACCACGUUGACCUCGCCGCGUUCUGUUGCAUGCAUGCGUCCAUGGGCGUGGUGCGUCCCCACUAUCAGCCUCUCACAUACAGUCAUCUUCCGAUGACUCUCGGUUGUUGACCACGUUGACCACACCGUGCCGAGCGCACCCAGACUGGAACGACCCGGAGAUGGGGAAGACGGGGCAGUGGAGUCACAGAUGGAGAGGAGUGGGAAACUUCACUGGUUCGGGUGCGCGGCAGCACAGCCGCGGUGCCGCCCACGGGAGACAGGAGCAAGAACAGAGGUUGAAGAAGGAGCAUGGCUGUUGGAUUAACAUCCAACGGUCUAGCUGCUAGAAUCAUUUGUUGAUUAAGUUGACAAAGCUGUGCGUACACGUCCGUUUAGUAGUCCCACAAGUCAGUCACCAAAUCUGACGGGUCCCAGCUAUCAAUGGGAUGAAUAAUUUUUUUCGCAAAACAAGGAGGCACUUCCUUCCGUGCGAAGAUACAGCCGGUGGGUCCCAGUUGUCAGGUGGAGGAAACAUUAUUUUUCAGCUUAAUAAGGAGGAACUUUCCGUGCAUGCGGCCAUGGACCUCGUGGGUUCCAGCCGUCAGGCUCUCCACGUACAGUCCUCUUCCGAUGACUCUCGUUUGUUGACCACGCCGCACCGAACGCAGCGAGGCGGUGGACGACGGCGAGGCCCCAGACGGGAACGACUCGGAGAUGGGAAAACGCGGCAGUGGAGUCGCAGAUUGAGAGGAGGAGAAGGGUUAUAACUGGUUCUGUUGCGGCAUGGGGCUGUAGUCUAUGGAGAAUAACAGGAGGUGUCGAGGGGUGGAGGGAUAGCCUGGCCGGCGGUGGGGUCGCGCUUCGCAGUGAUGCGUGCUAAGCAGAGCCGCUAGCCACCGGAGGCCGGACCAGGCGGUCCCAGCAACGCUGGAGGAAGAAGACGAGAGAUUGAAGGCGCAUGCUGGCCGUUGGAUAUAAAUCCAAUGGCUGUGGAUGACACAAUCAUUUGUUGACCAAGUUGACAACGCUCUGCGUAGGCUUUGACCUAUCGGCCCACAUGUCAGCCUGCAAAAAUGUGGCAUAUAUUUAACCCAUGUUUUCUAGAAUGUACAGUCCAUUGGCUGGGCUGGGUGAACAAAUAAUUUCGCGUCAAUCAGGCCCAUUUAUUUUUUCUAAGAAAUUCCAGCCCAUCUGCACUUCCUUGAAAUACACGUAUUAGGUGGGCUCGUCAUAUAUAUAAUGUUAUGUUAGAAGGAGCAAUUAAUAUCAAAGAAUAAAUCGGAGAGGCACAUUAUAUAUAUAUAUAAUUAAUAAAUUAGAGAGUUAUUGCUCAAAAUAAAAAUGAGCGCGUUAUUAUUAAAUUGGUCCUUAAAAUCUUCGCAAGCUUUUGUACGCAAUCACCAGGAUUUUCCUUGCCUGUGAGUCAAAAACAACCAGGAUUUUCCUUGCCAACUUCCGUUAAAUAUUUACUUUUAUAAGUUAAUAACACGUGGGAUGUUUUUAUAAUGCAUAUAUAAGUCUCUAUAAAAUAUACGAUAAUAGUAAUAAUAUAAAUCUUUCCCUAAUAAUAAAUCACGGAUUGACUCUUUGGGUUCACCGUCACAAUACACUUCUUUCCGUGAAUUUACGCUUUCAGUUUUUUUCCGUUAGUUUUGAUCGAUAGUCCGUCCAAUUGCUGCGAGGCGGUACUAAAAACUUUGUCCAUCCAAUUGGUCCACAUCCACAUUCUCUUAUUGGGCCUGCAUGCAUGUUUCGGCCUGCAUGCACGCUUUUGUAUCUGUACCUUACCUGAUUUCCACACAUGUACUCGGAGUAAUCCCACCUCGAUUGCUUACAUGAAAGUCUACCGAUUUAUAUACCUAGGAAAAUUGCAUAUCAACAACGAGCCUCUUGAAUCAACAAACACAGAAUGAGAACGAAGGGAAAUUGUACAACAAAACGGCAGUCCGACACGAAGCUGUUCAGUCCGGCGCUCGCCGAGGUGAGGAAGCGGAGGCGUAGCGCGCUGAUGCCUGCGACGCAGCCUGUUCCACAUGCUGGCCACCUCUACACCAUGCACGACAUGGACACGAGCGCGGCGGCAGGGUGGCUUGAGGUCAUGGUGGACUGGAUCCAGCGAGGGGAAGGUCGGAUCCGUCGGCUUGGAGAGGGAGGUGUGGAGGAGCACACGGGACAGAGGGCGGAGGAGGAUGGAGGCGGAACACCGAGGUUGGGCUGUGGACUUGGAGUGGAGGAGCCAUAGAGAGGCCCGGGAGCCACCACGAGAGCGAGAUGGGCCUGUCCAUGCUCGGCGGUCGUCAGCCGACUUCGUGUUUCUCUGCUGAUGAUCCCUGACCACCUGCUGCCCGGGGUCGGCUACAUGAUGUUAUGUCAGUUUGCUUGGUAGUUUCAUUCUUGCUUAAGAUUAGACCUAGCCGUGUAGAUGCAGAUGGACAUUGGAGGUACAGUGUUGGCACUGACGACUUGGAUAAAAAUAUUUUUGUAUGCACUCCGAGUGGGUCAGUCUAUAUACACUUAAAUUUUCACAUUCAGUUUCCUUCAGUUAGACGACAGCAAGGAGAUAAUGCACUCCUUUUUUCUAAAAAAAAUAUCAUAAGGGACAUCUUUUGGAAGAAUGACGAGCCAUGUUGGCCGUAGUUGGAGUGAAAGAAUUACAACUUUUUUGUGCCAAAUAAUCAAAUAUAGCACUGGUUCAGAAAAAAAAACCGAAACCAUGAGAAAUGUUGUUGUUGGAUGUCAGUGCGCAUCAUAUAUCCUCUUGGCCAUGCCGGUCAUAACAGCAACAACUUUCUUCAGGCUAGUGAUGCUCAUAUUGUCAAUCAUUCUCACUGUGGUGCCUGAGACAAAAACUCCUAAGACAGUUUGGUAAUUUAUGAUGUUAUUACACCGGAGCACAUGUAAUGACAGGCCCGGUAAAGAAGAAUAGAACGUAAGUGUGUGCCAUAUUUUUUUCCCAUUGCAACGCACGGGCCCUUUUGCUAGUAUAUAUAAUGUGGUUAGAAGGGAAAACAUAAAUUGGACACAACAUUACUUUUAUAAGAGACCUGCGUUUUAUACCCCACAGUAGGCAUACUAACAAGUUCACACACAAAUACAAUAGAAAAGGUAAACAUUCAUAUCAAACUCAGGUUCACAGGACACGUUCAUAUUCAUAGCCAACAUUCACUAUCAACAACUCAAAAGAUUCAUAUAUACACAAGCUCAACAUAUCUAUGCAUCCAAAUGAUUGAUAGAUCACACGAUAAUAUUCAUACAUAAUUCACAAAAAGAUACAUAUAUACACAUGUUCAGUAUGUUUAUGCAUCCAAAUGAUUGAGAUCACAGCCAAUAUGAUCCAUGGACAAACUUUAAUUACCUAGGGUACAGACUGGUAAAUGGUGUUCAAUCGGAGGUACUUCUUGCUAAAAUUAGUUCUUGUACGAGUAAACUUUCGAGUACAUAAGAGGCAGCACAGACAAUCUGAACUUUGCUUGUAGGUUUAUCCUCAAAUAGUGGCCUCAUGCCGAGGGAGGUUUGAGCAACUUGGCCACUACUUUCAUCCAACUAGUUUACUGGCUCAUCUUGGUCCUGUAUCUCGCCAAAAUUCUACAUUGCAGACGAGAAAGGAGGCGGUUGAGAAAAUGAACCACCCAAAUUUUUUGUGCAGUUCAACUGAAAUGGAGCAUCCUUGGCGUGCAGACUGAUUAAGUGCCAGAUGAAUAUAUGUGUCAACCAACUUGUCUGGAAUCUUUAGACUCCAUGCCAUAUAGUUCGCUACCAUAUGUGCCGAUAACCAAAAGGCACAAGUUGGGACCAAAGACUGGACUGCGUUUUUCUGGGCUAUGCACCAAGCAAUAUUUUUGGCAUUCACUCUCCUAAUACUUGGAUUUUGACAAUUGGUUGACGCCGGUUGAUACUCGAAUGAAUAUAGGCACUUCUUGUCAACAUCGAUGCUUGUCUGAGUGAACUUUGGAGUACAUAGCAACAGCAUAAGUACCUGUCCAUCUGAUCAUUUUGUGCAGUUCUAUUGAAAUCACCCGAUGUAAUGAUUUGCCUACGAGUUCAGGCUCCAAAUUACUCCUUUAUGAAAUCGGCAAACAGUAGCACAAUACCAAAUUACCAAUACAUAUGACAGGCACAAUAAUCAGGAUAAAGACCAGUACCAACCUGUGUGAGGUAGCAUAUCAAUUACUAUUUGCUUUGACUGGAAGCCGAGAUAAGCCAAGCGACUGACAGCAAAGGAAGAAAGCAAUCGGAGAUUAGCGACUGACUGGAAAGGACGGAAGCUGUCGAGGCAAUGAAGCACCCACAGUUUUUGUGCAGUUCCACCAAAAUCGAGCAUCCCUGUUGGCACAUAUAUUGAGAGUGUGAGAUUACUGUAAUAGUGGGACUAGUUGAUGAAACAUACACUAACAAAUAGAAGCACCCUCAUUAUCUUAGUGGGUAAAGUUAGAAACAUAGUAGUCUUGCUUAAAGAGAGGUAUUAGUUUAUUUAAUCAGUGCCAAUUAGCUCAACUCAACACUCAAAGCAUUGCCAUUUAUCAUAGGUUGCAAAACUUUAACGUGCAAAGAUAAAGGAGUUUCUCAUGACAGUAGCAUGAUACAAAUAGAGAUGACAACAAACUAAUACGGAUGAAGGCCUUAGGCCCGUACCAACCUGAGAAAAAAAGCUUAUUCAUGUAGUCCCAUAAGAGAUAAUAAAGCACUCAUUAAAAUCACACAAUAGUAUAUAUUUUUGUGCACUUCAAAUGUAUGGUUGAAAUCACUCUUGUUUACCAGUGCUGAGAUUAUAUCGAAAGAUUAUCAAGAACUUCCAGCAGAGUUAAAGCACUGGCUGGGAUACACUUCAUUGUAUUGUCUUGUGUAGUUCCACUAAAAUGUAUGAUUGGCACAACAUGAUCCCUGUUUGCACAAGUAGGAACAAGGUGAAACCUUCAUUAGCUUAGUGAGAAAGGAUAGGAAGACAUUAGCAUAUUACUCAAACAGUAGCAUGAAAUUCAUGAUGGAUAAUAUGCAAAACAUUGCCUCAUUGAACCAAUGGCAAUAAAUUGACAUGCAAAAUAAUAGCACUAUUAUGUCAUGACACUAAUAAUAGUCCCUCCCUGCUCCACCACAUGAUUCACCUCCAUAGACAAACAUAUACACGUACAUGAUUCAACAUAGGGUCCUACUAAAGAUUUGUUUAACUCCAACAGGAAAAUUAGGCAAUAAUAAAUUAGUGGUACUUAAGUACUCCUAAUUAAUUAAGUGAGACAGCAGAAGUGGAAGGGCUCCCUGGAGGAUCGUCUCACAUGUAAGGUAGUCAUUACCGGAGCCCUUGAAUGGCCUCGACUGAGGCCUCUGGCUUCAGCAAGAUCGCCUUGGCACUGUUUAUUCUUCUUCUUCUUCCUCUUCAUGCUCUGUUUCUCUUUCUCCUGACCAGUUGAUGAAACCAAGUACAUGAUUGGCCUUAUAAUUCAGAAUUGGUUUUGUCAGUGAGGGAGUACAAGUGUACUAGUAAAAACAACAUUUUUUUCUCAUGGCAGUCGGAAAAUAGAGAUGAACACAUGCAUUAAAUAUCAUUCUUACCUAAAGGAAGGUUAUGGCGCAAAUAUGGAUGAUAAGGAUUGGAACACAGAUCUCCCUUUGUGCAGUUCCACCAAAAUGAACCAACUGUUCCAUUCUGACAUUCCAGUUAAACAACACAAAAGUCACUUCUUUUAAGAAGAGUUUUGUGCAGUGCACCAAAAGGUCACAACAGCAACCAGGUGAAUUGGAUAUCCCUGUUUGCACAAAAAGGCACCGAGGAAACAGUCAGAGUCUCAAGCAAUUACAGGCAAAAACAUUUUGCUAAACUUGUCUUGGCUUAUAACAGUGGCAUGGCUUCAUUUUUUUUCCAGGGACAUUAGAUUAAGAACAGUGGGUGCACCAGCAGUCCAGCACCAUGUACGUAAACAGGGGCAUAAAGUGGUGAUUCAUAGUUUGUUGCCCCGAGAAACAAACAUCCAAGAAACAUAUCUGGGUUGGUCCCAUUUUUGUUCACUCUAGACACCUACUCCUAUGUGUGGAUAGCAAAUCUAGUCCUGGUCAUACCACUGUGUACAGCAUUACCCCUAUAUUUCCCUUUUCGACCAAGAGACCGGUUGGAUGACCAGUCUGUACUACUUUCACCCCCUUUCCUUCCUGUUUGUACCAAGUACGAUGUACAUACUAAAUUCCCCCACCCCCACUUUAUUUCUUGUUUGAACCAAGUACUUCCGGAAUUACUUGUGAUCAAAAUGGAUGUGUCUAGAACUAAAAUACAUCUAGAUACAUCCAUUUCAAUGACAAGUAUUUUCGGACGGAGGGAGUACAAGAUUCGACUCCAUGAAGUAGCUUUACCUCUAACAAUAGAAAAAAAAAUAUGUGACGUUGGACCAUCCGAUCGAGAGGGUCUAAGAGGUAGAAAAUGAUGCACAUGCAGCGACGUAGCGAGCUAGGGAAGUAGAGCUAAGGCGGUUUCAAACGAAGAUAUACCUAAAGGUCGUCGGGAUGUGGAUAUGUGGGCGGCGGGAGGCCGUAUCCGCCCACAGGCAACGACGAAGGGAUUGGAGGACCUCCCGCGCCGGCGCUCGGCUAGAGAUAAUGGUGCGGACGACAGUGGGUCUCCUCCCUCGUUGUCGACGACGGCCUAAACGCUGCCCCUCCUCCCCUUCACCGGCGGAGGGGAUACGUCCGGAUCUGUAACCAUCGGUGAGGAUAGAAAGCCAGUGUUUUUUGAAGGGAGAAAGAUAGUGUUACUACCCCUAUCUUGUUUAGAUCUAGAGAGGAUGAGAGUGUGUGAAUAGAGAAACCCUAGCAAGCAAGCGCGGAGGCUCCGGCCUAUAUAUACGUAGUGGGUAGUUUUCCUUUUUCACUAUAUCAAAACAAUUGUUUAAAAUUGUGUAUUACUACUUGCCAGGUCGCGGUUUUUUUAGUUGUUGAUUGUUUUUUGAGAUAGCUACCCGCUUGUUCCAAGUGGUGUUACGGUGUGCCAGGUCGCACUUUGUAUCGUUCAAGUCUGGUACUACAAGUCCCUCCAUUAAAUGAACAACCACCCCCUUGUAAAAAAUGUGAACAAGCCCACGGCUAAAAUUAGCGGAAUCGUGGGUUGCCCCAACAUGCAUUAUUAUUUAUAUUUUCUACUCCCUCCAUUCCUAAAUAUAAGUCUUUUUUAUUAGCCACACCUAAGACAAGAAUUUUUUUAUUAGCAGUGAACCCCACAUGUCAUAGACACAAAAAUUAUGGCAAGAUUCCCUUAGGCAAGCCAAAGUGUGUCUAACAAUUUGAGCAACUCAGGUUAGGCAAGUGUGGCAAGUGUGGGAAAAAUAAUGUGGCAACAUAAGACAAACAUAGUCACAAUCCAAACAGCCCCGUAAUUUUUUGUGACAUGCAUGAAAAUUUGGUUAGUUAAAUUUAUAGUCAAAAUUUGGCAAGGUGCAUCAAAUAAACACAUGCAAGUAUCAAAAGGAAAGUCACGGCAUGCAUGCAUGCGUUGUAGUCCCUCUGUUUCCAAAUAUAAGUCUUUUUAGAGAUUGCAACAAGUGACAACAUACGAAGCAGAAUAUGUCUACUCCUACAUAUAAAGUAGCCCAUUUGAAAUGUGUAAAAAGACUUAUAUCGAGUGCAGUGCUUUGAUGUGUCGCGUCAACUCGUACAAGACCGAGAAAUUUGAUUACUACAAUGCCCUCUCCCUCGCGGACUGGGCUCCGGUGCCUUAACUUCACCUGCCUUUGGCUGCAUGACAGGAGGGCCAACCACCUGUUGGGCCCACCCGUCAUAGACGCAAAGGCAGGAGCAGUAAGUAGAAGCUUUCGCUACACGCUAUCCCUCCCGCACGAGGUGGACGGACAUGCAGUAGUGGAUUCGAUACUGUAGAAGUAGGAGUAACAUCAUUGUUCGUCUUCUUAAAGAGGUGAAGAGCCAAGAACAACCCACACGUGGCAGUUGCGAACGCUCGCGUGGUGCGGUUCCUUGGAGUACUAGCCAGGCUCUUGCAUGAGACAAAAUUGCUAUUGUUUAACAAUUAAACUCCAUUAUCCAUUGGUUGAUACUCAUUCUGCAUAGGUCCACGCGCUUAGCACCUUUUCCUCCUGGGGUCACCAAUGUUUAUUUGCUAAUUAAUAGCAUUGCAUGCAAUGAACUAGCCAUUGCAAGUCAUUAAAAUCAUGCACACCUCUCAUCUCUUAUUGGUUGAUAUGUCAAGAAACAAGAAACAAGGUAGAAGUUAAUGCACCGCGCCUAAGUGUUUUGGGACUAUUUGGUUUUCGUAAGAUGACUUACACACCUAGACGAAGGGAGUAGUAUAGCCCUGUAAUCCAAAAAGGAGUAUUUGCCUUUCUAGAGAUUUCAACAAGUGACUAGACUACACCGUGUGCAGUACUCCAUCCCUUCCGGUUUAUAGGGCUCAAAUCUCAAAUCUCAUGAACCAAGGCAUUUUGUGAUUGGAGGAAUGUAUCUCGUACUUUACAAAACUACCCUAAUUAAACUCAUGCAUUAAUUACGUAGUUCUCUCGUUUUCCUCUUCGCCUUGGUCGCGGUGCACAAUAUUGAGCACUCCUAUAUGACUAGCCGCUCUAUCUAUAUGCGGGAAAUUUCAAAGCAUCCGGGCCCGCGUGCCAUCCACCAAAUCACAGCGAGGUGCUACAGUCGAGACUCACCUGUCACCCCGGUGUGGCCGUCAUGACCCGUCAUAUCACAAAACCCACACCUUUACCAGCAGUGGUAAGGUGGCCUCCAAGUUGGACUGGACGAAGCAACCAUCAUUUCACUGGAACGCUCGUUCAAGCCCUUUCUUCCCUUUCUUGAAGAAAAUCUCACUCCAGGCUACUCACUUUUGCCAUUUUUCUUCUGUACCAAUGAAGGAAAGGUGGGCGAAUCAGUUAUGCUGCUAUAUUUUCAUUCCAAGAAUCUUCUUUUUGUGAAGCACCGACCGAUUCUCACAUCCUAUUAUUUUCCCGUUUUCAUUGCGAUUGUGGUUUCCUUUCGAUUGCUUUUUGUUUUUCAUUUCAUUGAUGGAUCCUGGAGCACUAGGUAAAGAGUUACCGGCGGACAACCCACUGGAGACAGCGAUCUCCAGGAAGCGAGCACCGACCAAUGUGUUGACCAUGUUGGCGGGCCAACCCAUGGAGACGAAGAACUCCAAGAAACAAGCACUGGCCAAAGAGUUGAGGACGUUGGCGGAUGAACUCCUCAAAGGAAGUUGGAAGAACAGCAAGGGCCCCACCGUGCCUACCCCAGGAACUCUGAUUGCCACCUAUGUGAGGAUCAAGCCCGAGUUUGAGGAGAUAGUCGCCGUUGAGAAGCAGUAUUCCCCUAGCAAGGUGAUGGCCCCCAUCGAGGACGAGGAGAUGGCCCCCAGAGGGAUGAGAUCCCCCGGUGAGUUGCACAAGGUAAAAAAUAAUGGCUUAUUACCAUAGUUGUGGUUUUUGAUUAUUUGUAAUGUGCUUGCUAAUAUGUUAGGGUUAUGCAGGUGCCGGUGGACAUCCUUGAUGAUUCCGAUGUCGUGGCCCGUCCUGUUGGCAUCGCCCCGGAUAUCGAUUCCGAUGCCGCUGUCCAUCCUGUGGACAUCACCCCAGAGAUCGAUUCUGAUGACGCGGUCAGUCCUGUGGACAUCGCCCCAGAAAUCGAUUCCCAUGCCGUUGUCUGUGAUAUGGUCAUUGCCCGAGAGAUCGAUGACAAGAAAUAGUUGGUCGCGCUAAUCCUUCUGGGUAGUUUGCAUUACCCUGUGUUUAAUUACCAGAACGAUGCGUGUUAUCAAACCAUCUUAGGGCUAGUGCACUGUCUUGUGUGGGCGGAUCUUGCUACUUUUGUUUGGUAGUGAAUCAUGCGAUGAAUCAUGCGAAGCCUCUCCGAGUUAUGGAAACAGAUGUAUCCUCACCAGCUUUUGAUGUAAUAUAUGGCAUGCUUAGAUGUAAGUUUGAACUGUUUAUCAUAUCAGUAGGGCUUGUUUGAUGAUUAUUUGUGUUAGUAGGCUAGCUACUAUGUAGUACUUGCAAAACACUCACCGAAGAGAAAUGUUGGGGCUGAUGAGCUCUUGGUAUGCUUAUACUUAUCCCUCGUCGAUCGACCAAUAGCCCUAGCUCCUAAAAUUGUAGGCUUAGCAAUCGAUCAGACAAUAGUCGACUUGCAUUCAGGCCUCAUUUGGUUCAUAGGGUAGGAAAAUCAUAACAAAAGUACAGAGAAUGUGCAACACAAAAUCAUAGCAGUGCAGAGACGUACCCCCUCCGUUCCAAAAUAGAUGACCUAGGCGGGCUAGUUUGGCCUAGUGGGUUUCAGUGAUAUGACAUGGUACAGUGCCGUCCAGUCUUCGCGUGUGGUAGCAGUAUUGUGGGUACAGUAAAUUUUCUUGAAGAAGCGGAAUUCAACGAAGUCAUGAUGGUUCCUUCGUCCGAACAACAUACAGUGGGAAAGGUUGGGCCUGCGAUACGACUGGGGUAGACCAGGAUAAUUUUGUGCAUGGCAGGUGGACCAGGAUGGUCGACGUCCCACAUGUCGGCGAAUGAAAGUAUUCUUUCCGAUAUAGAGGAUGAGCAACGAGUAUUCAUUGUUUAUUUUUGAUGAAAGCUAUUGUCUCCACUGUUACGACCGAGGAGUGUGAAACACGGCAGCCUAGUGAACUUGGCAUGUGCACCACUCCCUCCUUCCUCGUGUAAUGCCCAGGUUACAACUUUUUCUCACUUUCUCUCUAUCUAUUUCCUCUCAAAUGUUUUUUACCUUUCUUUUUUUAAGGCACAAUUGUUUUUUAUGCCUUUUUUAGAAUUAUUUUUUAUACCUAGGAGCACGUGUAGAGACGUGCUCUUGUAGAGCCCACUCCUUGACUUUGUCAAUGCCUCUCUCUCCUCCACAUAAGGAGUACUAGUUGCUAUGCAUGCAUGCGGCAGGCAGCUGGCAUCUGAGGGGCCAGGGCGGUGAGAGCGGGCUCCGGAAGCGGUCCGGACUCCAGCAUGGCCCACCUCACAUUAUCACCAUAUAUUUCUUGGAGUCUGUGCGCGGCGGGCGGGCGAUCUCUUCUCCCUCCCCCGUUUCUCUCUUCUCAGCCGACGCCCGCCGAGCGAUUAGAUUUCGGCUAUCGACGGUUUAUUCAAUUACGGUCCCACAUGUUAGUGAAAUUGCAAGACAACGCCUAUCCCCUCUGGUGAGCGGCGUGCGAGCCGGACUGUCGGAGUUGCGACGUGUAUGAGUCGUAAGUGUGCCGCCUUUUCCUUUAGAACUUGUGAAGCAUAACAUUUUCGCGUGAUCGAUCGAUAGAAAUCCAAAACAAAAUGACGAGGGCAGUGCUUUUCCGCUUGUUAGGCGGGAUAGUUCGAGUGAUAUGACGUGCUACAGUGCCGUCCACUUGCUUCAUUUUUAUGUAAGCAAGAGUUUACACUCUUACGCGGGAGGAGUGCGAAACACCGCGGAUCUGAUUUUGAUCGAGGGAUAAGUGUUCCCUGCCAAAUAAUGGAGGAUUGGUAGCGAUUAUAGCAUGAUAGUUAGGGCAUCUCCAGCGCUGGCCCACAAAUUUACACCGGCAUCUAUCCGAGGACACCCAUGGAUGCCAUCCGAUGCUGCCCACAUACCUUUCGACAACUAUAUGAAUAUGAACUAACCGGACAAAAUUCGUGCAAACAAAGCAAAUUUCAAAUUAACCGGAUGAAAUUCAUUACAUUUCAAAAACUUUUCCUACAAACUGGACGAAAUUCAUUACAUAUUUUGCACAAACCGUACUAAAACCUACUGUAAACCUAAUCUAAACGAUCGCCGGCGCCCGACCACCAUUGCCUUUGCCUCCUCCUCAUCUGCCUCGAUAACCUCCUCCUCCGGAGCACAAGGUUAUGAAGAUUUCCGCCUCCAUGUCACCGUCAAAUGGCUAAUCGGCCGCUGAUGUUUACCCCACCAAGCUUGGCUUCGACUGAGUGGAGUAGCGGUGGCCUUCCAGGGAUAAGAGCGGCGGCGACCUACCGUGUACUACUCUUCCUCGCUGUCGGGUACGCCCACGCACGCGCGCUAGCUUCGUGGUCGUGGCGGCAGAGGGCGGCCGGGGGAGNNNNNNNNNNNNNNNNNNNNNNNNNNNNNNNNNNNNNNNNNNNNNNNNNNNNNNNNNNNNNNNNNNNNNNNNNNNNNNNNNNNNNNNNNNNNNNNNNNNNNNNNNNNNNNNNNNNNNNNNNNNNNNNNNNNNNNNNNNNNNNNNNNNNNNNNNNNNNNNNNNNNNNNNNNNNNNNNNNNNNNNNNNNNNNNNNNNNNNNNNNNNNNNNNNNNNNNNNNNNNNNNNNNNNNNNNNNNNNNNNNNNNNNNNNNNNNNNNNNNNNNNNNNNNNNNNNNNNNNNNNNNNNNNNNNNNNNNNNNNNNNNNNNNNNNNNNNNNNNNNNNGUGGCGGCGAUCUCCUUCGUUUGCUCCUGCGAAAGUACGUCGAAGAGAGCUUUGGACCGCGCCCGGAGCGGAGCCGCCGAUGUCCCUCGUCUUCUCCUGCGAUAGUACGUCCAAGAAAGCUUCGGAGCGCCAGGAGGCCAUGGUUGAAGUGGUGCCGACAGAAGGAAGGGACCGGUGGAGAAUAAGUGUGGGUCUUUGGCUAUGGCUGGGAGCUGGGGCUCAAGUUAAUAUAGCGGGCGAAUGGCAAUGAGCCGCGAUAGAUGGAUGGACAACUGGCACCGGAGUAGGUUCGUCGGGCGUGAAUGCGAACGCUGCUUCAGUGACUUAACUGCAGAUGCGUUUGGGUUACUGACAUGUGGGCCCAACGGGCAUCUGGCCCGCAUGUCAGUGACACGCCAAUUGCACCUGCAGUUAAGUCUGGUGAAUGCGACAUUGACAUUCUGGAGAGACGGUGACAGUUUCAGGCAGGAAGCGCACGCUAGCGAUGGAAGGGGUUUCGGUGUGUAGUGGCACUAAGAUUGGUAGCUCAUGAUAGUACAUACUCCGUACCAUACUACCAUAGUACCCUCUCUAGCUUAGGCUGUUUUAUAGAUUAUCGUUGUGAUGGAUGAUAUACAUGAGCAAGGCGGUCCGAGUAUGACCAUUGGUGUUGAGGCAGGUGAAUACAUGCUCGGUGUUCACAUAGGCCUCCAUCAAACGUCUACACAGUAAUGUCAGGCACCGCCGGGGCGCGCAGGUGAUGGGCUCACCGUUUGUGUUGCGCCAUGAGCAUGACUUUGAUUUAGAGGGCGACGUGCAUGCAUUAGCAUGCUUUGACAGCGUGAGCGUGAGUGUCUGACUCGAAGUAUUUCAUUUUCAUUUGGCUGACGAGGGUGUGUUGCAGUGACGAGUCCAUGGUUUGAUUCCCCACAUACGCAUAAUUUUGGUUUUUAUAGUAUUUCUUUCUCCAUUGACAGGUAGGCCCGCGUAGAUAGAUAAAGAACACGAGCUGAUGAGGCGCAUGCAGACUAUUUGACUGGUCAACCAGACAAAUACAGAGCUAUACGCUGAGCCAGUGACCGUAUAAUCACCAUAUCUCGUAUACAAUGAUCAAAGUGAGCUAUCAAGACAAGUUCGAUGACCGCCAAUGCAUUUUACUCGGUAAUAAAUGACCAGGAUUGAAGGGGAAUCCAAAUUUGCUUUGUCUUCUGUCCUUGAGCUCUUGACAAACCAAUGCACUAUACGAUUGUCCGGCCACUCCACCCCAGAGCUCUCACCAAGCGUCGUUCAUGCCACCGCGCCGCACACCAACCGGUAAGGCAGCGAUGGCAUCCCGCCGCGCCGAGUUCCUCACCGCCCACGACCGCACACAAAAUGGUAGGGAAGCGAUGGCAUCCCGCCGUGCCGAGUUCAUCGCCGCUCGCAACCUGAAAACUAUGUGGGAGGAAUUUGAAGAUGCCAAGGCCGAAUGGGCGGUAGAGCAAGAGGCGGCCAAAGUCACACAGAGGGAGUGGAAAAGUCAGAAAGCACUCAAGAAAAGAGAGUCCCGCUGCCACAAGAAAGAAAAGGACGCACGCGCUGCUGCGGAGAGGUCGGCGGAGAUCCAAGCACAGUGGGGUGUCGUCGACAAAGCCGGGAAGGAGAACGACGGCGUAUGGCCAGCAUGUGAGAAGUAGUAGUACUAGUAGUUAGUGUGUGUUUCUGUGUCUGAGUACGAGCAUGUACCAAUACUACUAGUUACUACUGUAGUUUUUAGAGAAAAUUACCAGUAUAUUAGCCUAGACUAAAUGGAAAAAUUCCUAUCCUAAGCAUCAAAUGGCAUCUCUUUCUCUAUAGGAAUUGAGAUGCAUGUCAUCUCACUUCCUAUGAUUUUCAUAUUCCUAUCCUAUGAACGAAAGGAGGUCUCCGUUGGAGUAACUACUGUAGCUAGCAGUACUGCUGGUACAGUAGUUUUCUUCAAGAAGCGGAAUUCAACGAAGUCAUGAUGGUUCCUUCGUCCGAGCAACUUCAAAGUGGGAAGUGGGCCUAUGAUUUGACGGCUCAUUAGUCAUUGUUACUGCGCCGCGACGACCUGUGUGACUCUCCCUUGGAGUUCUGCGUGCAUGGCAAGUGGACCAGGAUGGUCGACGUCCCACAUGUUGGCGAAUGGAAGUAUUCUUUCCGAUAUCGAGGAGCAAGGAAACCGCGUGGUAUAGUAUCACUGCUGAUUGGUUCGCAAAAAAAUAGUAUCACUGCAGAUUUAUAAUUAUUUUUUAUUUCUGAUGAAUGCUAGCGUUUCAACUCUUACGAUGAAGGGUGCCAAACAGGACACAUGCUGGAUGUCCCACACGUCAGUGAAAGGAGUGGGACAUGAACAGCGUGGUAGAGCCCAGCGUAAAAAAACAGCGUGGUAGAGCAUCUCCACUUCUUCCACUUCUGGGUCGGAGACCACACAUAGUAGUACUUAGUGGUAUGAACGAUACAAAGUGCGACCUGGAGAGAAAGACACGUCUAGUUGGAAGGUCUCAGGGCAUACACGUAAACAAAUAUAAAAGUUGUAGUAGUAGUAGAGUACUUAGGCACGUACUCCAACUAAUAUAGUAGUAGUAGAGUACUUAGGCACGCACUCCAUAACAUCAUCGUGCAUUGCACGUACAAUAUUUAGUGGUAGUACGUAGUAAGAGACAAAUGCCACCCAAGAGUUCCCUUCUCGACCUACUUUUGGGUGUUUGGUAGAGUGUAUGGAGGGUGCAUGAGUCCACACUAGUUUAGCACAAAUACACUAGAAGCAUGCAUGAAGAGAGCAUGCAUGAAGAGGGUUGUUGAGUUGAGCAUGCAUGAAGAGGGAACAACUAUGCUGAGACGAGAACGCAACCAAGCACACCCUAUAUGCCACGCAUGUUCAUACCAUUUGUGCCUUUCUACUUCACUUACUACGCUACAUUACUCAGGUUCAUACGUCCACUCCUGGGUACAUGUCCGUCUCAUAGUUCCAGUCCCAUGUGUUCUUCAUAUAGAUGGAAUGAUCCUUGCAUAACACGUGGACCUUGAUGCUAGAUGUCUCGCGUAUUGGCAAAAGAAUGAACAAAGCUCACGUAAAAAAAUAGAGUGGAAGAACAUAGAUUCCAGACAACCGAGAAGGAGCAAGGAACCUCGUGGUGGAGCGUCUGCACUCAUAAUAUUUAAUAUUAUUCAGCGAUAUAAAAUUAACCAAUCAUCUCCACAGUGGACUGGAAGAGUACAAAACACGACAGCCCAGUGUAGUUACAUCAUACUAGUACAUGGCUAACCCACGCUAUCACCAUAUUUCUUGGCUUCUGUGCGACACCUAUCUCUAGUAAUCCAGCAGCCCGUAUCGCUUCUCCCUCCUCGUCUCUAUCAAACUGCGACGGGCUGGCAUUUCUGCCGUCUAUUGAGGUCGGUUAACUAUCACAUGUUAGCGACAUGCCAAGAGCAUUCUAAAAAAAAUUCAUUUCAUGUUCCGUUUUAAAAAAAAAAAGUCCUUUCACGUACGAAUUUGCUUGUAUGCUUUGAGCAACUUGCAUGUCCUAUACUGCUCCUGUUUGAUACUCUAACUUAGCUAGAGGUUAGACUAACUCAUGACUAACCCUGAACUAAUUGUAGCCAAAGAGGUGUUUGGGUGACAGGGUUAGAUUGACAAUAAAUGCACUUCAUGGAGAGAGAAAACUGAUUUUCAGUGGUCCCAAUGAGAACUAUCUCUAGUUAGCACCUCUUGGGUGGGAUAGUUUUUUUUGGUGGGUUCGGUGCAACUUGCUCCAAUUUAAACCCUCAUGCUUGGAUACUUUAGGGCUAUUUGAGCCCCAACUAGCUCAAACUAACUCUAACCCAUGGAUCCAAACAGGGCCUAUGGCCAGUCUCGACGCGGAGCAGUCGCAUGCACCGGGAAGCGGCGCUCUCUCGGCCGUCGCGCCACUUCAAAGCCGGCGCCAGUGAGAGGUCGCCUCCGCUCUGGCCGGGCAUUAAUGCGGCACUAAUGCUCCAGGGCGACGUUGACCGUUUCACGCGGGAAGCGUGCGCUGGCAAGGGAGUAUAUGUUUUGAACCGUUUCAGGUGUAGUACUGGUAGUUUGCACAACUACUCAAUUAUUGCACUCAGUUUCCUAAGAAAUUGUGGUAAAAAACGUUACUCCACAGCCCGCUUCCCUUCUCCUUCCUCUUCCACCGCCCACGCACGUCCGCGGGAAGCGACCGGUCAACCCUUAUACAGGAGUGCUAGCACAAAAAGAUGCGUGCAUGACCACUAAAAUUUCCAUAUUAAAGCGCCGCUCUGGCGGGAGUAUGGCGUAUGUUGUUACCUUUGGCCGGCCCAUGGCUACCGGGCGACGGUGACCAAAGAAGAGGCGGCGGGAGGGGAAUGAAUGCAGCUACUGUUUGGGUUCACCUUCCGGCUUAAAUAAAUGUGCAGCAUCACGUGUACCCGCGGGUGCACAAAUUGUAACAUACGUGUCUACUUAAGUAGGCGUCACGUAACUAGUGUGUGUGUGAGAAAGAUUCUGAGAGAUAGAGUGCGUGUGUGCGACUCUACUCUUCGGACAUGUACUCAACCUUUUGCAUCGGGAUAUAAGUAUAAUGGUAUUUACUUUAGCUAGUGAUUUACGUGGCCAUGUUAACGUGGUUGUGUAAAAAAAUGUCACUUCCUGCUCAUGAUUUGCGUUAUAUAAUUACAAGCAAGAUUCUCGUGCAUUGUAGGGAACAUCAAUAUGCAUUUUUUUACGAAACACCUGUUGUGAUUGACCCAUGCAGGAGUAAUCCCAUGUGGAAAAACUAAUGAUAUCUCAAGAAUUUUAUCGAAAAACUGGUAUCUCGAGAAUGUCAUCGAAAAAAAUGAAAGAUGAGAGAUAAGGCGAGGAGGAGUGGAGCGUGGUGGUGACUAGUGGUCGGAAUGGGCGGAGGCAUGGGGAUGGAUGGCGCCGGCAGGCGGCGGCGGCCACCAUGCAUGCUAGAUUGUUCCAGAGACUUAUUCCUUUUUUAAUUGCUGAGCAAUGAGGUUUUGGGAGAUAAUGAUGUGGAGAGAGGUACGGGUAUCUUUUGUAAAAUUAUCAUAGUUUGCUUUCUAUCCUCGGAUAUAGAUCAUACGGUGUAUUACAAUAUGGAAGGCACACCAUCACCGCCAACUCAUUUUUUUAUAAGGGUACAGAUGAUAAGUUUGCUGACUACUAAAGUAAAGUGGAAUUUGUCCAUGUUAUGCAAGUAAAUAAAGGUGAUUGUUUAUCAUACGGUAAGGUUGGAUGAAUGGUGGUAGGAACAAAUGCUCCGACUAGAGCAUGUGUGUGUGAUAUAAAUUCUUAGUGUGUGUGUGUGUGUGAGAGAGAGAGAGAGGGGAGAGAGAUGGAGUCUUNNNNNNNNNNNNNNNNNNNNNNNNNNNNNNNNNNNNNNNNNNNNNNNNNNNNNNNNNNNNNNNNNNNNNNNNNNNNNNNNNNNNNNNNNNNNNNNNNNNNNNNNNNNNNNNNNNNNNNNNNNNNNNNNNNNNNNNNNNNNNNNNNNNNNNNNNNNNNNNNNNNNNNNNNNNNNNNNNNNNNNNNNNNNNNNNNNNNNNNNNNNNNNNNNNNNNNNNNNNNNNNNNNNNNNNNNNNNNNNNNNNNNNNNNNNNNAGAGAGAGAGAGAGAGAGAGAUGAAGUCUUAGUGUGUGUGUGUGGGAGGGGUGCGAGCAUGUGUGUGUGCGUGUGUGUGUGUCGCCGGGUCCUCUGUGGCAGAUGUAAUUUAAGUGUGCAUGGCUUCAUCAUAGAGAGGUGGUGUGUAUGGCAGAGGCCACCAACGAUGGGGUGCGAGAGAGAAAAUGCCCGUAGAGAGGGAAGAGAAGGUGUGUGAGCGUGAGAGGAGUCGACAUCGAGAGAACGUGUUUGUUCGAGAGACACCGAGGAAGACUACUAUAUAUGGAUGGUGCAUGUAGGCGGGAAUUAGACAAAGGGAUGGUCUUAUUGGUUUCGGGGAUAUAGGGGAAGUGUGAGAGGCGUGGGGGGGGGUGGGUAGCUAGAAGGAGAUUGUUAAGUGUGAGUGUGUGUUUUACCCAUCCAGGCGGAAGUUAUGUGCACAAAAGAGGAGAACGAUUCGAUGUGGCGUUAGGAUUGAGGGUAAUUAACUACGUAUGGAGACAUAGAGACCUUGAAAGUGCACGUGUGAGAGGUAUACAUGUAUACGUGGGAUGUGUGUGUGCGCGCGCGCAUGAUCGAGAUAAAAGAAAGAAGACAUAAGUCAUAAGAUCAGCGACAUGGGAGAGACGGAUCGGUAUGACAAGAAGCAUGCAUGUGAGAAUGCAGGGAAGAAGGCCCGACAAUUGAGCAUGUGUUUUUGUAUUUAAUAGAUAGUGGCGUGGGCUGGAGCAUGCAUCUAUGGCGAGCAGAGGGAGUGAGGAGCAACGAUUGUACAAAAGAGACCAACCUAUAAAUGCAUAUGUAUGGAGAGACAUAUAUAGUGUGGGUGAUAGGAAGCAAGACUCCGUGCGAGAAAGAAAUGUUGAUGGAGAAACUACAGAUAGAUACAGAGAUGGAGAUGCUAGCUAGAGGGACAUCCGCUAGUUUGGGUGUUGGGGAUGACCGUCGGGUGGUUCAAAGGGUGAAGUUAUAUAUGUGUGUGAGAGGGCACUUGACUGCAUGUAGAGAGAAAUAUAUGUAGUGUGCGUGAUAGGAAUCAAGAAUGAGGGCGAGAAAGAAGGUUGAUGGAGAAACAAAUAAAUAGAAAGAUAAAGAUGCUAGCUAGUGUGCGUUAGAGAUAGGAGUCGAGUGGAUCAGAAGGCUGGGUUAUGUGUGUGGGUGUGAGAGAGAUAGAGAGAGGGUGCAUGUGAGUCACAUACAAACAGAUAUCAGAGAGAAAUGAGAUCCAGAGAGAUGGAGUUUUGUGUCUGCGAGAGAGAAAUAUAUUUCACAACGAGAGUGAUAGCUAGAGAGAGAUACGAGGGAACGCAAGAUAUCUCUAGGGAGAGAGGGUGUGUGUGAGCGACAUACAAGAGAACAAUGGAGAAAUAUGAGACCCUGGGAGACAGAGUUUGUGUUUGUGUGUGAGAAAGAGAUAUUGAAGAGGAAGAGUCGUAGGUUCUCAUAUCUAAGGAGCGAAAGACAUCUCUGUAUGAGGGGUGUGCGAGUGGCACACAUGGGAAUAGUAGAGAGAAAUGAGACCCCGGGAGACAAAAGUUUUGUGUUUGUGUGAGAGAAAGAGAUUCCACAUGGAGAAUCAUAGUUAGCGACACAUAGCAGGGAGCGAGAUAUACAUAGAGAGAGAUAGAGUGAUGAAGGUCGAGGGAGAGAGUACCGUCAGUGUGUUACAAAGAUAAAAGAUCAUUGUCGACAUACAGGUAGCACCAGAGAUACCUGAGAGACGAUGAACGUGUAUAGGUCCAGAGAGAUAGUCCUAUAUAAGCAUGAGUGAUAGCUAUAUGAACGAAUAUCUGGAUUAAAGGGGAUUCAAAUAUUUAAACUGGAGAUCACGACAUCAAUAAUAUCAUAACGCAAAUUGGUGUAUCAAACAUGCAUAUUCAUUUGAAUCUGGGCACAUGUGUAAUG
rnacentral:lncRNA from 1 species